GGGAUCUUGGUCCCACGAUUUGGUACCCUGCUCCUGGUCCUCAUGCUGCCUUUGAUUUGCGUAUAAAUACGCCACUGGCAUUGCAAUUCCAAGCACAGCGAAACACACAAGCGACUUAUUUCCUUCAACAAUAUGGCUCUCCUCAAGAACUUGGCCGCGUACCUGUGCGUGAUCCUGGCCUCGCUCGCCUUCGUGGCGCAGGGCGCGCUCGCAGCCAGAGGUAUCAUCAUCAACUCGCCUCUUCCUAGCUCGUGUCUAAAAUAAGUAAGUGUAACUUAUAAUCUGACUGUUGUUGAACCUACAGCAGGUGCUUUAAGCAACGUGAGGGGGUACACGGUUAAGGACCCGCGCGGUGGUGGUGGUUAUGGGAAUGGGUAUCCUCCAUGAUAGGCCGGAGAUGAUGACACUUGGACCACGGAAAUACUACAAAUAAGUCCGCGUACCAUGAAUAAAUUUGCACACGUUGCCGAUAUAUAGUAAAACACAGUGAUGCACGGUUUUACUCCCUCUAUACGUGAAUAAUUACAGUUGAAACGAACUAGUCUAGUUUUCCUCAACUAUAAUUAUUUAGCUACAGAGAAAGUAUAUUGUUACUACAUACUAUGCUUGGCUUUCUAAAUAAAUGCCUUGUGGCGGCUUGUGAGCUUACGGCGUGUCUCGUCUGAGUUUGGCCGACGCCGAGUCUGUUCGGGUCGCGCCCUAACAGGUCGUCAAGUCUCUGCAUGAACCGAGUCGUUAUACAACAAGAUGCAGAAUGCAUUGGUCAUAGCGAUUUUCGGCUGCGAGGUCACUACCUUGUACCUUGAACGAAUAAUAGAAGGAGAAGAAAAGCUGUGAAAAGUUUACGCGGUGCACAUCUCUUCACUCUUGUGGGCCGUGCUCUCUCUUGCGAGGAAUUAUACUGGUUGCAAGGAAUUGUUGUCUCACACAAGCGGAACCUUUUAGUUCUAUAGAUUUUCAUGCUCUACGUGCAAAUAUAAUUUUUGUCAUAGAGUUUGCAUUACGAUAAAAUUCUGUCCUUGAACGUGUCAUCCCAUGAAAGAGAUGUAUAUUGGUUUCAAAGAAUGUGAAGCGAUAUACAUAUCACUCCUCACACUAAUUUCGAUUUGCUAGCAAUUUGUAAUUUCACUACCUUGGCAUUCGCCUUAUCUCAUUUAUCGUCACUUCCCAAAAUGUGCCCUCCCACUCCCCUAAUGUCAUGAAUUAUCUUCAUUUUNNNNNNNNNNNNNNNNNNNNNNNNNNNNNNNNNNNNNNNNNNNNNNNNNNNNNNNNNNNNNNNNNNNNNNNNNNNNNNNNNNNNNNNNNNNNNNNNNNNNNNNNNNNNNNNNNNNNNNNNNNNNNNNNNNNNNNNNNNNNNNNNNNNNNNNNNNNNNNNNNNNNNNNNNNNNNNNNNNNNNNNNNNNNNNNNNNNNNNNNNNNNNNNNNNNNNNNNNNNNNNNNNNNNNNNNNNNNNNNNNNNNNNNNNNNNNNNNNNNNNNNNNNNNNNNNNNNNNNNNNNNNNNNNNNNNNNNNNNNNNNNNNNNNNNNNNNNNNNNNNNNNNNNNNNNNNNNNNNNNNNNNNNNNNNNNNNNNNNNNNNNNNNNNNNNNNNNNNNNNNNNNNNNNNNNNNNNNNNNNNNNNNNNNNNNNNNNNNNNNNNNNNNNNNNNNNNNNNNNNNNNNNNNNNNNNNNNNNNNNNNNNNNNNNNNNNNNNNNNNNNNNNNNNNNNNNNNNNNNNNNNNNNNNNNNNNNNNNNNNNNNNNNNNNNNNNNNNNNNNNNNNNNNNNNNNNNNNNNNNNNNNNNNNNNNNNNNNNNNNNNNNNNNNNNNNNNNNNNNNNNNNNNNNNNNNNNNNNNNNNNNNNNNNNNNNNNNNNNNNNNNNNNNNNNNNNNNNUAUAUGAAAUGCGAUUUUUCUGGUCUUAUGGCUUAUAUUUUAUUUUUUUACAUCAAAUUUUACGUAAUGAAUCAAUAUAAAUGUAACUAUUGGUAUUCCAAAUGUAAUUUAUUUAUGAAAUUGCAUAAAAUUACCUGGAUAAAGAAUAACUUAUUUUGCACCUUCAGUGACGAAUAGACUUUCUAUAUUUUGCACCUAGAUCAACUACCGUUGGAUUGCUUUAGAAAUAGCAUCAUAGAUCGUGGGUAGUUUAGACUAGAAUUCGGGUCUAACCCGUUAGUGAAUUUGAUUUGGAGGGUAGGCCAUAUUUUAACUGUUUCCUAAUAUUUGACAUGCAAUACUUUCCGUAUAUGACGUUGUAUCAAUUUGUUAUUUCUUUCCUAACCAACACGCAUGGCUCUUGUUUGAUUUGUUUCCAUAUUUAAUAAUAGACCAAUCAUUGGCCCUCUAAUUGCCUCACAGAAAAAACCGCCAUGGCCGGCCGGCCGAGCCAGCGCCCAGUUUGAGAUACGUGAUGAGCACAUGAACCUUGUAACCAGGAAAUACUUGUAACCACCGUCUAUCACAUGGAGAACGGUCAUGUGACCUCAUUUCUUCAUCUUUAUCAUAUUUCAUGGAUCCACUAGGUAUGUAUGGUUGUUCAGUUUAAUCGUAUCGAUUUUUUUGUGAAGCCCAAUACUCAUAACUUGCAUUGGAAAGCACAAUUUUUCUCUCAUCUACGUAUUUCAGCCACAUGCUUCAACAUAUCUCGUUAUUUUCUCUAAUUUUUACCAUUAUGUUUCCCUUCGUUUGGAUAUUUUAUUCAUGCUUCUUCUUUCUUGAACACUUGAUGUAUUUGUUUUUUAUUCUUUUCGGAUAGAUCUAUGCGAAUAAUGUUUCUGUAGAUCAUUAAGCUACCAAACUUACUAAAAGAUGCGGUGGUUGGCGGUGAAGGCUUUGUGCGACAACGCCAAUGACUCAAACAACGUGCAAGAGAAGGACAUGGAGAUACAUGUGACUUAAUAAAAUUUGUUUGUCUUUAUGAAUCUUGUAUCUUAACAUGCAAAUUUGAGUACAAUAUCAAAAACCUUCUUAUUUCUUGUGAAUUGGGUUGUAGUACGCUUGUGUAUAUGCAUGGCCAAAUUUUAUAAAAAAAUAUGAUAAUCAAACAGUAUGGCCAAAUCUUGAGUAUGUACAUACUGAACACACAUUUAUCAAUCCGAUUAUAUCACAAUACCUUGCACUUUCAUAGGUACAAAAUACCCACAUUUCUGCACCAUUUUUAUACACGCAUGGGAACCAAAUACCCGCAUUUUUGUAUCGUAGCUUAGGUAUCCAUUGCCCUUCUACGAGACGCAAAGUCUAAGAUAUAGUUGCAUGUGCGAACUUGUCAAUUUUUAAAAAUAAUAAGGAUGGAUUCUAUAUAUCUAUACUGUAACUGAGGUAUUUUGACUAUAUACCCACUGAACUUAAAACCAUGUCCUCAAUUUUAUUGCGAGUAUAUAACCCAUCUAUACAUGAUUAUCCAAGAUAUGCUAUAGCUAACCAGUAAAUAAUUGCUAGGUACGCAUUUAUACCCACAAAUCCACUAUAGUUGCUAAUACCUAAGACGUACAUGUAGAUUUGCGUUCACUACAUUUCUAGGUAUUCUAGGUACGUACACAUGUGAGUUAUUUAUACAAACUGACUAAUUUAUGAGUAACUGAAUGCCAUUAGUAGUUUUAUUUCGCAUGUAAAAUUUAUGAAUAUACCUCAGAUGUUUUGCAGUUACGUGAAAUAUAUGAAUUAGUAACAUUUACAAAAUCUUUACAAUGUUUUAAAAGUGGACAACAAUGGCAAAAGGAAUAGUCUCCAUAUACCUAAUCACAUCCACGUCUUCAAAUUAAGGUGCAGUAACUUUAGAUUAUUCUAAAACCAAACGCUGCCAUUUAGAGUUGUCUUUAUUGUUUUAGCUAUGAACAAAGGUCUCCAUGCAUGGCUUAAGAAUUGAUCUUACCUAUCAUCUACCCACAACUAAGAAUUGAUGAACAUCUAAUGGUGCCAUGUGGUUAAUAUGAAAACAAUACCCACAUAUAUUAAUGGACUCAUACAGGUGUGACAAGGUACAACCUUUUGUUCAAAAAGGGUACAAGUGUCCCGCGCAAAAAAAAGGGUACAAGUGUAACCGAGUAUCCUAAAUAUUCCAAAGUGCAAAUACCUGACGGAGUGAGUGUGUGUGGAUACAUUUACGAGGAAUUAGAUCUUCAAAAAAAUGAAGCAUACUUUAAAUUAAGAUCACAAAUAAAGCUAGAAAAUUCAAGACUUAUUUUGUCUUGCAUACCCACACCGGCAAGAUUGUACUGAGUAUACUACUCCCAUAAAUUGACCACAAAUCCGUACAUUCCUAAUGCUAAAUUUGCUCCUCAUUUUUUACUACUAAUUGAUUGACAUUUAUUCUCACAUGCACAGCGUAAAUUUUUAACAUGCAUGGUGUAAAAUUACCUCACUUCUAAUAUAAAAUUACCGAACAACUUUUAGUGUUAUAUUUUUUCACACAUGCAGAACGUAACUUUACAUCACGCAUGCUGUAAAAUUACCUCACAUCUUUUCAUACGGUGAAAAGAAACUUCCUUCCUCAAGAGUGUAAUAUUACCUCGAGUCUNNNNNNNNNNNNNNNNNNNNNNNNNNNNNNNNNNNNNNNNNNNNNNNNNNNNNNNNNNNNNNNNNNNNNNNNNNNNNNNNNNNNNNNNNNNNNNNNNNNNNNNNNNNNNNNNNNNNNNNNNNNNNNNNNNNNNNNNNNNNNNNNNNNNNNNNNNNNNNNNNNNNNNNNNNNNNNNNNNNNNNNNNNNNNNNNNNNNNNNNNNNNNNNNNNNNNNNNNNNNNNNNNNNNNNNNNNNNNNNNNNNNNNNNNNNNNNNNNNNNNNNNNNNNNNNNNNNNNNNNNNNNNNNNNNNNNNNNNNNNNNNNNNNNNNNNNNNNNNNNNNNNNNNNNNNNNNNNNNNNNNNNNNNNNNNNNNNNNNNNNNNNNNNNNNNNNNNNNNNNNNNNNNNNNNNNNNNNNNNNNNNNNNNNNNNNNNNNNNNNNNNNNNNNNNNNNNNNNNNNNNNNNNNNNNNNNNNNNNNNNNNNNNNNNNNNNNNNNNNNNNNNNNNNNNNNNNNNNNNNNNNNNNNNNNNNNNNNNNNNNNNNNNNNNNNNNNNNNNNNNNNNNNNNNNNNNNNNNNNNNNNNNNNNNNNNNNNNNNNNNNNNNNNNNNNNNNNNNNNNNNNNNNNNNNNNNNNNNNNNNNNNNNNNNNNNNNNNNNNNNNNNNNNNNNNNNNNNNNNNNNNNNNNNNNNNNNNNNNNNNNNNNNNNNNNNNNNNNNNNNNNNNNNNNNNNNNNNNNNNNNNNNNNNNNNNNNNNNNNNNNNNNNNNNNNNNNNNNNNNNNNNNNNNNNNNNNNNNNNNNNNNNNNNNNNNNNNNNNNNNNNNNNNNNNNNNNNNNNNNNNNNNNNNNNNNNNNNNNNNNNNNNNNNNNNNNNNNNNNNNNNNNNNNNNNNNNNNNNNNNNNNNNNNNNNNNNNNNNNNNNNNNNNNNNNNNNNNNNNNNNNNNNNNNNNNNNNNNNNNNNNNNNNNNNNNNNNNNNNNNNNNNNNNNNNNNNNNNNNNNNNNNNNNNNNNNNNNNNNNNNNNNNNNNNNNNNNNNNNNNNNNNNNNNNNNNNNNNNNNNNNNNNNNNNNNNNNNNNNNNNNNNNNNNNNNNNNNNNNNNNNNNNNNNNNNNNNNNNNNNNNNNNNNNNNNNNNNNNNNNNNNNNNNNNNNNNNNNNNNNNNNNNNNNNNNNNNNNNNNNNNNNNNNNNNNNNNNNNNNNNNNNNNNNNNNNNNNNNNNNNNNNNNNNNNNNNNNNNNNNNNNNNNNNNNNNNNNNNNNNNNNNNNNNNNNNNNNNNNNNNNNNNNNNNNNNNNNNNNNNNNNNNNNNNNNNNNNNNNNNNNNNNNNNNNNNNNNNNNNNNNNNNNNNNNNNNNNNNNNNNNNNNNNNNNNNNNNNNNNNNNNNNNNNNNNNNNNNNNNNNNNNNNNNNNNNNNAUAUAGGUCAUAAGACCAGAAAAAUCACAUUUUAUGUAUAAUUUAUACUAUGUUUUUAUGUUUGUAAUUUUAUGUGACAUAAUUUUUUUUUACGAUGACUAUAUAUUUUUUUACGGUCUCUUUUUACGUAUGAGAUAAGAUUAAAAUUUCAGAAACGUAAAAUUAUGGUCUAUUGAUGUGAAAAUAGAGAGGGUGAAGAAUAACUAUUCCUCAUCCAGGGUGACGAAUAGUGCGACCCUAUAUAUAUAUAUAUGCUUCCUAUUUAACAACAAUAUAGAAGACCCCGCAAACAGAAUAACAACACUAUAGAAGACAUAACAAUGGGUUUUAAUGUUUGUAUUGAAUUGACUUCAAUAUUAAUUCGGCAAGGCAACGAAAAUGGGCAUGAAAACGAAUUUUGUUUGGUUGUUCACUGAAUUGACUCAUGCAAUUUCAGCAAUGUUUCAAUACGAAAAUAUGUUUGGAUGGCAAACUCUGGAAUUACAAGGUUACACAAGUAUGACUAUUAUCAAGUUGGAGUAUUUAGUGCAUGUUGUGGUUCUGCAUGAAACUUUACAUGAAAUUGGCUGGCAGAAACUCACUUAGUUAUAUUUCAUAUGAAGGGUUUUGAUCAUGUCUGAAGGAAGCAUGUUAUGACCUUUAAUAUGAAGGGUUUUCGUAUGAAGGGUUUUGAUCAUGUACAAGGAGGCAGCAUUGGGGUAAGGUCAAUGAUAGCAUGUGUUACUUCUUUCAAACUCUAAAGGGAUUGCGUCAGGGGAAUCCCUUAUCCCCUGUUCCAUUGAGUAUUGUGACAAAUAUAUUGUUAGCACUCAUUGGUAGAGACAAAGAGAAUGUGUUAAUCCCACAUCUCUUGGAUGGUGGAACUUUGACCCUACAAUACGUUGUUGAUACCAUUAUUUUUAUGGAACAUGAUAUGGACAAGGCGAUAAACAUGAAGCUGGUCUUGUGUCUGUUUUACUAAUUACCGGGUCUAAAUAUCAAUUUUCACAAAAGUGAGCUUUUCUGUUUUGUACGCGCCAAAGUGGAAAAUAAUAAUUAUGUACAGUUGUUCGCCUGUGAGAUCGAGUCGCUCUCAUUCAGUUAUUUGGGGUCACGGAUACAUCAACGUAGAUUAAUAAACAAAGAGUGGAACUAUAUUGAUGAUAGGUACGAAAAUAAGCUGAGCUAUUGGAAAGGCAAAUUAUGUCCUAUGGAGGUAAGCUGGUCCUCGUGAACUCGGUGCUGGCGAGUUUACCUAUCUUCAUGCUUUCAUUUCCCGAAAUACAUGUAAGUUUCUAGAAAAGAUUGGAUUUCUGUAGAUCACUUUUUAUUUUGUCGAUUGAUGAGCCUAAGACAAUUUAUAGAUUAGUAAGGUGGGUAUUUUUUUGUUUGGCUAAAAGAAAAAGUAUGUUUGGGCAUCCAGAAUAGAGAAGUUCAAAAUAAAUUUCCGCUCAGUGAAUGGUUACAUCGUUUGUCAUCUAAGCAGGAUGGAGAGUUGAUACAGCUACUGCGUAGCAAGUACCGGCAUUACAAAACUUUGUCUCAAGUGUUGGCUCAAGGGGCAGGCUAUGUCCUCACAAUUCUUGCUCACUGUCGUGGUUUUGUCACGGCAGAUGUCCUCGUGAAAGGACUUAGUACUGGAGCCAUCGCACUUUGGUGGCGACUCAAAGGGGUUGAACGGGAGAGAGACGGCGAUUUACCCAGGUUCGGCCCCUCGUGAGGAGGUAAAGGCCUACGUCCUGCUUUGAGUUGUAUUGAUGGAGUUUCGAUUACAAGGAGGGCGUAACUCGCGAGACCUAGCACUCGAUGAUUUCUAACCUGCCCUCUUCUUCCCUGGGACUCGCCUUUAUAUACAGGUCGAGUCCCUAGGGUUUACAAGGGUACUUUCCUUUCUACAAACCGUGACUUUUAUGAUCUCUAAGUCGCCAUCUUCCAAAGCUUGGAGACCUUCCGGAAGUUGUAAACCGCCAUACAACCUUCGGUCUUGCCAGGCCAAGGCCCGAACCACGCUUAGAUGAAUCGCCUGCUUUCGUGACCCAGCCCAACUAGGGUGGUUAUCAACAGGUAAUAUCCCCAACAUUAGGCCCCAGAUUGACUUGAAUUCUCUUCACGCCAAUAUUCUUGCUCAGUUAAGGGCGGUUCAUUUUUCAUCCUCCUCCAUACGUCAUGAACUUAACCCGCCAUCUGUCGCGAAAAGACUUAAAUCGCCAAAACAUUUCUCGUUGGUAUCUUCUUAUCCCUUGAAUUCCGGAAAAGAUAAUGACGUAAUCCGAACGGAUCCUUUGGUAUCGCUAUCCCAAAAUUUUCGGAGCGCCAUUAUGGCGAAUCUUUUAUCCUUUGGCGGUUCCCGCUCACGGCGCCUCGAUUCCAGCGCCUGCCCUGUUAAAUAGGUGGGGGGGGGGACAGGUCUAGCGCAUUCCACCCACCAGUCUUGUCAACCUUCUCCCCAUUAUCACAGCGAAAACCCUUAUUGCCUUCCGAGAGCUCCGCCACCGACCGCAGUUCUUGCCGUCGCCCGAAAGCUUUGGUGCCCCCAAGGAUCUUGUCGCCGUCAAGCACUUCACUGCGGCCGAGCUGCUCGCCGUCAUCGACCAUCUCAUCAUCGUCGACCACCUCGCUGCUGCCAAGCACUUCGUCGCCGCCGAAGAUUUCCGCGCCCGACCGAGGUUUUCGCACCCCUCCAGAAACCUUCGUCGCCGUCGACCAUCUCCGGCCGAACCCACCAGGUUAGGUCACCGUUUACUCAAGAGCAGAUCUCCAUUCUUUUUCGAAGUUCAUCACUGCCAUGUUCUUGAUGCUUUCCCGAAUAGUUGUUACUUGUCCUUGAUUAGUUGAUAUCGAUGAUGACGAGAAAACCAAUGUCUCUAAUACCUUUAUUUGUCCGCCCUCGAUUUGCAUGCUUAGAGUAAUAUUUCACCAAACCAACAACAUUAUCCCAUCUUGGUUGUAGGUUUUCGUAUCCGAUCAUUUUCCGCAUUUAUUUUCAGCUGUCCAGUAGAUCCAUAAUCUACAGCUCGUUAUGUGAAAGUUGUUUGUAGUCUUCAUACUUCACCAUUUUUGGAUAAAUAUAAUGCCUCUGACGCCUUAAGACACAACUCUUGUAAGUAGCCAAACUUCGUAAGUCGCCAUAGCAACCUGACUCGGGCCUUUAUAUGGCGGGUCAAGAUUUCUCCUCAGCCCGCGGACAAAUUACUUGGCGAGUCAAAUGAAAUUAUUUCACCUCUUACAGUAGAUGUUCAGGUGUGUCAAUUCACCCGUACUUUAUUCCUUUGUAGCAUGGGCACCGUCUUCAAAAGUGACUGGCUCCCUACCAAGGUCAAUGAUGCCAUACUAGAGGAUUAUGUGAAAACGGGAAAUUUGGACCCUCAGGAUGUUAUCGGUUGGCGUACCGGGUUCGGAGAGGAAAUCCCCAAUCCCAAGGAAAGGGAGAUAGUUGUUUUCGUCGAACACCUUGAGCGGGGUUUUAAGCUGCCUGGAUCGAAGUUCCUUAGAGAUGCCAUGGCUUUCAUGAACGUCCGCCUCCAGGAUCUAGGACCCAAUUCGAUAAGCAACCUAUGCCAGUUCCAAGUGUUUUGUGAGGCUUACCUGCGGAUGGAAUGUUGGGGAACGUCGCAUGGGAAACAAAAAUUUUCCUACGCGCACGAAGACCUAUCAUGGUGAUGUCCAUCUAUGAGAGGGGAUGAGUGAUCUACGUACCCUCGUAGACCGUACAGCAGAAGCGUUAGAGAACGCGGUUGAUGUAGUGGAACGUCCUCACGUCCCUCGAUCCGCCCCGCGAACAAUCCCGCGAUCAGUCCCACGAUCUAGUACCGAACGGACGACACCUCCGCGUUCAGCACACGUACAGCUCGACGAUGAUCUCGGCCUUCUUGAUCCAGCAAGAGAGACGGAGAGGUAGAAGAGUUCUCCGGCAGCGUGACGGCGCUCCGGAGGUUGGUGAUGACCNNNNNNNNNNNNNNNNNNNNNNNNNNNNNNNNNNNNNNNNNNNNNNNNNNNNNNNNNNNNNNNNNNNNNNNNNNNNNNNNNNNNNNNNNNNNNNNNNNNNUUAUAUGGUUGGUUACCGAAUGUUGUUCGGAGUCCCGGAUGAGAUCACGAACGUCAUGAGGGUUUCCGGAAUGGUCCGGAAACGAAGAUUGAUAUAUAGGAUGACCUCAUUUGAUUACCGGAAGGUUUUCGGAGUUACCGGGAAUGUACCGGGAAUGACGAAUGGGUUCCGGGAGUUCGACCGGGGGGGGGGGGGGGGCAACCCACCCCGGGGAAGCCCAUAGGCAUUGGGGGUGGCGCACCAGCCCUUAGUGGGCUGGUGGGACAGCCCAAAAGAGCCCUAUGCGCCAUAGGAAGAAAAAUCAAAGAGAAAAGAAAAAAAAGAGGAGGUGGGAAAAAGGGGAAGGACUCCUCCUUCCAAACCAAGUUGGACUCGGUUUGGAAGGGGAGAACUCCCCCCUUGGCUCGGCUGAAGUCCUUAGGGGUCCUUGGAUCCCAAGGAAAGGCUCCCCCUCUUUCCCCUAUAUAUACGGAGGUUUUAGGGCUGAUUUGACACAACUUUGCCACGGCAGCCCGACCACAUAUCUCCACGGUUUUACCUCUAGACCGCGUUUCUGCGGAGCUCGGGCGGAGCCCUGCUGAGACGAGAUCAUCACCAACCUCCGGAGCGCCGUCACGCCGCCGGAGAACUCUUCUACCUCUCCGUCUCUCUUGCUGGAUCAAGAAGGCCGAGAUCAUCGUCGAGCUGUACGUGUGCUGAACGCGGAGGUGCCGUCCGUUCGGCACUAGAUCAUGGGACUGAUCGCGGGACGGUUCGCGGGGCGGAUCGAGGGACGUGAGGACGUUCCACUACAUCAACCGCGUUCACUAACGCUUCUGCUGUACGAUCUACAAGGGUACGUAGAUCGAACAUCCCCUCUCGUAGAUGGACAUCACCAUGAUAGGUCUUCGUGCGCGUAGGAAAAUUUUUGUUUCCCAUGCGACGUUCCCCAACAGUGGCAUCAUGAGCUAGGUUCAUGCGUAGAUGUCUUCUCGAGUAGAACACAAAAGUUUUUGUGGGCGGUGAUGUGCGUUUUGCUGCCCUCUUUAGACUUUUCUUGAUUCCGCGGUAUUGUUGGAUUGAAGCGGCUUGGACCGACAUUACUCGUACGCUUUCGAGAGACUGGUUUCAUCGCUACGAGUAACCCCGUUGCUCAAAGAUGACUGGCAAGUGUCAGUUUCUCCAACUUUAGUUGAAUCGGAUUUGACCGAAGAGGUCCUUGUAUAAGGUUAAAUAGCGAUUCAUAUAUCUCCGUUGUGGUCUUUGCGUAAGUAAGAUGCGAUCCUACUAGAUACCCAUGGUCACCACGUAAAACAUGCAACAACAAAAUUAGAGGACGUCUAACUUGUUUUUGCAGGGUAUGCUUGUGAUGUGAUAUGGCCAACGAUGUGAUGUGAUAUAUUGGAUGUAUGAGAUGAUCAUGUUGUAAUAGAUAAUAUCGACUUGCACGUCGAUGGUACGGCAACCGGCAGGAGCCAUAGGGUUGUCUUUAAACUAACGUUUGUGCUUGCAGAUGCGUUUACUAUUUUGCUAGGAUGUAGCUUUAGUAGUAAUAGCAUGAGUAGCACGACAACCCCGAUGGCGACACGUUGAUGGAGAUCAUGGUGUGGCGCCGGUGACAAGAAGAUCGUGCCGGUGCUUUGGUGAUGGAGAUCAAGGAGCAUGUGAUGAUGGCCAUAUCAUGUCACUUAUGAAUUGCAUGUGAUGUUAAUCCUUUUAUGCACCUUAUUUUGCUUAGAACGACGGUAGCAUUAUGAGGUGAUCUCUCACUAAAAUUUCAAGACGAAAUUGUGUUCUCCCCGACUGUGCACCGUUGCGACAGUUCUUCGUUCCGAGACACCACGUGAUGAUCGGGUGUGAUAGACUCAGCGUUCACAUACAACGAGUGCAAAACAGUUGCACAUGCAGAACACUCGGGUUAAGAUUGACGAGCCUAGCAUGUGCAGACAUGGCCUCGGAACACAUGAGACCGAAAGGUCGAGCAUGAAUCGUAUAGUUGAUAUGAUUAGCAUAGAGAUGCUUACCACUGAAACUAUUCUCGACUCACGUGAUGAUCGGACUUGAGAUAGUGGAUUUGGAUCAUGUACCACUCAAAUGACUAGAGAGAUGUACUUUUGAGUGGGAGUUCUUAAGUAAUAUGAUUAAUUGAACUAAUUGUCAUGAACAUAGUCUAAUGGUCUUUGCGAAUUACGAUGUAGCUUGCGCUAUAGCUCUACUGUUUUUUAUAUGUUCCUAGAGAAAAUUUAGUUGAAAGUUGAUAGUAGCAAACUUUGCAGACUAAGUCUGUAAAACCGAGGAUUGUCCUCGUUGCUGCGCAGAAGGCUUAUGUCCUUAAUGCACCACUCAGUGUGUUGCACCUCGAGCGUCGUCUGUGGAUGCUGUGAACAUCCGACAUACACGUUUCUGAUGACUACACGAUAGUUCAGUGCAAAAUACUUAAUGGCUUAGAAGCAAGGCGCCGAAAACGUUUUGAAACGUCACGGAACAUAAGUGAUGUUCUAAAGAGAUGAAAUUGUGAUUUCAUGCUUGUGCCCUUGUUAAGAGGUACGAGACCUCCAACAAGAUUCUUUGUCCACAAAGUAAAGGAGAAAAGCUCAAUCGUUGAGCGUGUGCUCAGAUUGUCUGAGUACGACAAUCGCUUGAAUCAAGUGGGAGUUAAUCUUCUAGAUAAGAUGGUGAUGGUUCUCCAAAGUCACUGCCACCAAGCUGUGAGAGCUUCCGUGAUGAACUAUAACAUAUCAAGGAUAGAUACAAUGAUCCUUGAGCAAUUCGCGAUGUUUGACACUGCGAAAGUAGAAAUCAAGUAGGAGCAUCAAUAGUUGAUGGUUAUUAAAACCACUAAGUUUCAAGAAAGGCAAGGGCUAGAAGGGAUACUUCGUGAAACGGCAAAACAGUUGCUGCACUAAUGAGGAGACCCAAGAUUAAACUCAAACCCGAGACUAAGUGCUUCUGUAAUGAGGGGAACAGUCACUGAGGCGGAGCAACUCUAGAUACUUGGUAGAUAAGAAGGCUGGCAAAAGUCGAAAGAAGUAUAUUUGAUAUACAUGAUGUUGAUGUGUACUUUACUAGUACUCCUAGUAGCAUGAGGGUAUUACCGGUUCGGUUGCUAAGUGAUUAGUAACACGAAAUGAUAGCUACGGCGUAAACGGAGACUAGCUAAAGGCGAGGUGACGAUACGUGUUGGAAGUGUUUCCAAGAUUGAUAUGAUCAAAACAUUGCACGCUCCCUCUACCAUCGGGAUUGGUGUUAAACCGAAAUAAUUGUUAUUUGGUGCUUGCGUUAAGCAUGAACAUGAUUGAAUCGUGUUUAUUGCAAUACGAUUAUUCAUUUAAAGAGAAUAAUGGUUACUCUAUUUGCUUGAAUAAUCACCUUCAAUAGUUUAUUGAAUCUCGAUCGUAGUGUUACACAUGUUCAUGAUAUUGGUGCCAAAAGAUGCGACGUAAUGAUGAUAAUACUACUUACUUGUGGCACUGCCGCUUGAGUCAUGUUGGUAUAAAUUGCAUGAAGAGGCUCCAUGCUGAUGGAUCUUUAUACUCACUUGAUUUUGAAUCACUAGUGACAUGCAAAUCAUGCCACAUGAGCAAGGCCUUGUUUUCAUUGAGAUGAAACAAGAUAGUAACUUGUUGGAAGUUAUACAUUUUGAUGUAUGCAGUCCAAUGGGUGCUGAGGCACGCAGUGGAUAUCAUUAUGUUCUUACUUCAAUGACGAUUUGAGCAUAUACAAGAGUAUUUACUUAAUGAAUCACAAGUCUGAAAUAUUGAAAAGUUCAAUUCUGUUUCAGAGUGAAGUUCGUCGUAACAAGAGGAUAAACUGUCUACGAUAUGAUCAUAGAAAUGAAUAUCUGAGUUACGAGUUUUGGUACGCAGUUAAGACAAUGUGGAAAUUGUUUCGCAGUUCAUACCACCUGGAACAUCAUAGUGUGAUGAUGUGUCUGAAUGUCAUAGCCACGCACUAUUUGGUAUGGUGCAUGUUAUGAUGUCUCUUAUCGAAUUACCACUAUCGUUUAUGGGUUAUGCAUUAGAGACAACCGCAUUCACUUUAAAUAGGGCACCGCGUAUUUCCGUUGAGAUGACACAGUAUAGACUGAGAUUUAGAGAAAUCUAAAACUGUCGUUUCUUGAAAGUUUGGGGCUUCGACACUUAUGUGAAAAAGUUUCAGUCUGAUAAGCUCGAACCCAAAGCGGAUAAAUGCAUCUUCAUAAGAUAUCUAAAACAGUUGGGUACAUCUCCUAUCUCAGAUCCGAAAGCAAAGUGUUUGUUUCUAGAAACGGAUCCUUUCUCGAGGAAAGGUUUCUCUCGAAAGAAUUGUGCGGGAGGGUGGUAGAACUUGAUGAGGUUAUUGAACCAUCACUUCAACCAGUGUGUAGCAGGGCGCAGGAAGUUGUUCCUGUGGCGCCUACAUCAAUUGAAGUGAAAGCUGAUGAUGGUGAUCAUCGAGCAUCGGAUCAAGUUACUACAAACCUCAUAGGUUGACAAGGUCGCAUACUACUGCAGAGUGGUACGGUAACCCUGUCUUGGAGGUCAUGUUGUUGAGAAACAGUGAACCUACGAGUUAUGAAGAAGGCAAUGGUGGGCCCGGAUUCCGACAAAUGGCUGGAGGCCAUGAAAUCCGAGAGAGGAUCCAUGUAUGAAAACAAAGUGUAGACUUUGGAAGAACUACUUGAUGGUCAUAGGACUAUUGAGUAAAGAUGGAUCUUUAAAAGGAAGACAGACGAUGAUGGUGAUAAAUCACUAUUAAGAAAAGCUCGACUUGUCGCAAAGAUGUUUCCGACAAGAUCAAACAGUUGAGUAUGAUGAGACUUUCUCACUCGUAGUGAUGCUAAAAGUCUGUUAGAAUUAUGUUAGUAGUUGCUGCAUUAUUUAUGAAAUAUUGCACAUAGGAUGUCAAAACAUUGUUUCCUCGAUGGUUUCCUUGAGCAAACAUUGUAUGUGAUACAACCAAGAGGUUUUGUCGAUCCUAAAGAUACUAGCAAGUAUGCAAGCUCCAGCGAUCCUUCAAUGGACUGGUGCAAGCAUCUCGGAGUUGGAAUAUACACUUUGAUGAGAUGAUCAAAGAUUUUGGGUUUUGUACAAGGUUUAUGAGAAACUUGUAUUUCCAAAUAAGUGAGUGGGAGCACUAUAGAAUUUCUGAUAAGUAUAUGUGGUUGACAUAUUGUGGAUCAGAACUAAUGUAGAAUUUCUGUAAAGCAUACAAGGUUGUUUGAAAGGGUUUUUCAAAGGAAUACCUGGAUUGAGCCACUUGAAUGUUGAGCAUCAAAGAUCUAUGGAGAUAGAUCGAAAGCGCUUAAUGGAAGUUUCAACAAGAUGCAUGCCUUGACAAGUUUUUGAAGGAGUUCAAAAUAGAUCAGCAAAGAAGGAGUUCUUGGUUGCGUUGUAAGGUGUGAGUUUGAGUAAGACUCAAAACCUGACCACGGCAGAAUAAAGAGAAUAGACGAAGGUCGUCUUCUAUGCCUUAAGCCGUAGACUCUAAAGUAUGCCAUGCUGAGUACCGCACCUGAUGUGUGCCUUACAGCAAGUCUGUUAAGAGGUACACAGAGUGAUCCAGGAUUGAAUCACUGAUCAGCGGUCAAAGUUAUCCUUAGUAACUAAAUAGACUAAGGAAUUUUUCUCGAUUAUGGAGGUGGUUAAAGAGUUCGUCGUAAAGGUUUACGUCGAUUGAAGCUUUGACACUAAUCCGAAUAACUAUGAGUAGUGAAACAGAUUCGUAUAGUGGAGUAGAUAUUUGGAGCAUUUCCGAAUAGCACGUAGCAGCAGCAUCUAUAAGAUGACAUAAAGAUUUGUAAAGAACGCACGGAUCUGAAAGUUUCAGAACCGUUGACUAAAACCUCUCUCACGAGCAAGACGUGAUCAGACCCCAUAACUAUAUGGGUGUUAGAUUCGUCGAAAUCACAUGGUGAUGUGAACUAGAUUAUUGACUCUAGUGCAAGUGGGAGACUGUUGGAAAUAUGCCCUAGAGGCAAUAAUAAAUUAGUUAUUAUUAUAUUUCUUAGUUCAAGAUAAUCGUUUAUUAUCCAUGCUAUAAUUGUAUUGAUUGGAAAAAUAGUGCAUGUGUGGAGACAUAGACAAAACACUGUCCCUAGUAAGCCUCUUGUUGACUAGCUCGUUGAUCAAAGAUGGUCAAGGUUUCCUUACCAUAGGCAAGUGUUGUCACUUGAUAACGGUAUCACACCAUUAGGAGAAUCAUGUGAUGGACUAGACCCAAACUAAUAGACGUAGCAUAUUGAUCGUGUCAUUUUGUUGCUACUGUUUUCUGCGUGUCAAGUAUUUGUUCCUAUGACCAUGAGAUCAUAUAACUCACUGACACCGGAGGAAUGCUUUGUGUGUAUCAAACGUCGCAACGUAACUGGGUGACUAUAAAGAUGCUCUACAUGUAUCUCCGAAGGUGUUCGUUGAGUUAGUAUGGAUCGAGACUGGGAUUUGUCACUCCGUGUGACGGAGAGGUAUCUCGGGGCCCACUCGGUAAUACAACAUCACACACAAGCCUUGCAAGCAAUGUGACUUAGUGUAAGUUGCGGGAUCUUGUAUUACGGAACGAGUAAAGAGACUUGCCGGUAAACGAGAUUGAAAUAGGUAUACGGAUACUGACGAUCGAAUCUCGGGCAACUAACAUACCGAAGGACAAAGGGAAUGACAUACGGGAUUAUAUGAAUCCUUGGCACUGAGGUUCAAACGAUAAGAUCUUCGUAGAAUAUGUAGGAUCCAAUAUGGGCAUCCAGGUCCCGCUAUUGGAUAUUGACCGAGGAGUCUCUCGGGUCAUGUCUACAUAGUUCUCAAACCCGCAGGGUCUGCACACUUAAGGUUCAACGUUGUUUUAUGCGUAUUUGAGUUAUAUGGUUGGUUACCGAAUGUUGUUCGGAGUCCCGGAUGAGAUCACGGACGUCACGAGGGUUUCCGGAAUGGUCCGGAAACGAAGAUUGAUAUAUAGGAUGACCUCAUUUGAUUACCGGAAGGUUUUCGGAGUUACCGGGAAUGUACCGAAAAUGACGAAUGGGUUCCGGGAGUUCGACCGGGGGGGGGGGGCAACCCACCCCCGGGAAGCCCAUAGGCAUUGGGGGUGGCGCACCAGCCCUUAGUGGGCUGGUGGGACAGCCCAAAAGAGCCCUAUGCGCAUUGGAAGAAAAAUCAAAGAGAAAAAAAAAGAGGAGGUGGGAAAGGAAAGAAGGACUCCACCCACCAAGCCAAGUAGGACUCGGGUUUGGGGGGGGGGGGAGACCUUCCCCCCUUGGCUCGGCCGACCCCCUUGGGGCUCCUUGAGCCCCAAGGCAAGGCCCCCCUCUCCCACCUAUAUAUACGGAGGUUUUAGGGCCAAUUUGAGACGACUUUUCCACGGCAGCCCGACCACAUACCUCCACGGUUUUUCCUCUAGAUCGCGUUUCUGCGGAGCUCGGGCGGAGCCCUGCUGAGACAAGAUCAUCACCAACCUCCGGAGCGCCGUCACGCUGCCGGAGAACUCUUCUACCUCUCCGUCUCUCUUGCUGGAUCAAGAAGGCCGAGAUCACCGUCGAGUUGUACGUGUGCUGAACGCGGAGGUGCCAUCCGUUCGGCACUAGAUCGUGGGACUGAUUGCGGGACGGUUCGCGGGGCGGAUCGAGGGACGUGAGGACGUUCCACUACAUCAACCGCGUUCACUAAUGCUUCUGCUGUGCGGUCUACAAGGGUACGUAGAUCGAACAUCCCCUCUCGUAGAUGGACAUCACCAUGAUAGGUCUUCGUGCGCGUACGAAUUUUUUUUGUUUCCCAUGCGACGUUCCCCAACAGCCGCCACCGCCGGGCUGCGGGGUGCCGCGUGGGCAACGCCCGGCCGCGCCCGCCGGCGGCAACGGCGAGGGGGAGGGGAGGCGGCGGCUCGCUGGGAGGGGAAGGGGAGGGGAGCCGCCCCGGUCGCCUCGCUCGGGGAGGGCGACGCGGGGGGCCGCGAGGGGGCUAGUUUGAGUGUUUGUUACAUGGCUGCCCCUAUAUAGAUGUUUUUACUUUUCAAUUUAAUACUCCUCUGUUGCAAAAUAAAUGACAUAAAUUUUGUACUAAAGCAACGACACUUAUUUUAAAACGGAGGGCCGGAUAGAUGUUUACAAAACACAAACUUAAAAGGUUUUGAUUUUUCUUUUGUGAGCAUUUUUUAUUUAAACGAACAAUAAACGAACAUUUUUUUAAACGAACAAGUUUUUUAUUUAAUAGAUAUUGCGAAAUUCAAUUAUAUUGAUGUUAGCAUUUUUUCUAUUAAAACAAUAUUUUUGACAUAUUUGUUAAAAAAAUAAGAAUAUUUAUACAUUAUGAACAAAAUUAAAAAAAGAAAACAUUUUAUGAAAUUUGAACACAUUAUUAUAAGUGAGCAUUUUUUAAAUAUAAAUGAAAAAAAUAAAAAAGACAAAAAAAACCUGUCACCGGACUUUCUAGAAUCUAGCGGCAAUAGUCGUCGUGAAAUCAACGGUUAUGUCCAUGGAUGGUGCUUCAGGCUGAGCUACAUGGAGGUAUGACUUGAUUCAUACCAUCUUCUUACUAACCGAUGCGUAAGCUAUCCUUGCUAUACCACUAUGCACCAAGAAUGUGGAUGAUUUUUGGUCUUGAGCUGCGAAAGGAAAGGGAUUUUCACUGUUCGUUCUGCUUAUCAUAUGAUUUUGAACACUAAGUUCCACAGGAAGAAUUGGCUGAGGAGAACGGCGGGCAAGGCAUGGAUGUCCUUUUGGAAAGUUAAAGUUCCAUCCAAACUGAAAGUUUUCUGCUGGCGCCUGGCUCAACACUCGAUCCCUUCUGCGCAUGUUCUUCACCAUCGGCACAUGGCCGAUUCUUCGCGAUGCAUGUUGUGUGGGAUGCAGGACUCGUGGCAACAUGCUCUCCUAAGCUGCACUAUGUCACGUUCUAUUUGGUCUUUGACCAAUGAGAACCUUGUUCAUCAACUGAGUAUGAACCAAGACAGCAAUGCCAAAAGUUGGAUUUUCGUCAUGCAAGAACAACUUCCUGAGAAGGAGUUCCUGAGUUGUCUGGUCACCCUCUGGACUACCUGGAGAGCUCGAAGGAAGGCAAUAUAUGAAGACAUCUAUCUGAGCCCUUUAUCGACCCACCAUUUUAUCACUUCCUUUCUGGCAGACCUUGAGACAGUUGACAGCUUCGGCUCUUCAAGGAUUGCAGGCCGGGCUCCUCCCAUAGUAAAACCUACGGGCUGGCAAAAGCCGCCAAUGAACCUCACCAAGCUCAACACUGAUGCAGCGGUCAGCAAUAACAAGCGCUAUUGCGCUGUUGCAGCAGUCUGCCGGUCAGAAGGCGGGUCUAUUCUUGGGUGCUUCGUUGAUCGUCUUUUGAGGUAUCUAUGAUCCACCUACACUAGAGGCCUUGGCUGUCCGAGAGGCUCUAGCGCCAGCAGAAGAUCUCAAUCUGCAGCGGAUCCAUGUUGUAACUGAUUGCAAAGUGGUGGUGGAUGACAUCAAGCAGAAGAACAUGUCUACGUAUGGAGCCAUUAUACAUGAGAUCAUAGAGUAUAGUAGUACUUUUAUCUUAUGUAAUAUCGUUCAUGAAUUUAGGACCUCGAAUAUCGAGGCUCACAAUCUAGCAAAGCAUGCUUUAAAGAUGGGAGUUGCCGCCAUGUUUGGUUAGGACACCCCAGAAAUAUUUCGUUCGUCCCUGUAAACCUGCUGACGGUUGAAUAAAGCUUUACGAGAUUGUCUAAAAAAAUAUGGGAGUGGGUUGUGGUAUGACUUAUCAACUCAUCCCACUUAUAAGUGCUUAGUGGGUAGGGCACCGGGAAACACAGUAAAAUUUUGAUGUGAUAUCUCAAAUAACCCACAGGGAAUUCACUAGCUAGACUCACUUCUUCUAACCCUCGAUUAGUUCCCUUUUUCUGAUUAAUACAAUAUAUUAAUAUGAUGCAGAUACCAAUUACAGCUAGUCUCUGCAUCAACAAGAUAUCGAAGGACAUCAGAGAAAAAUGAAAAACAAAGACCCAUCACCGUGAUGAAAUACUCGCAACAGCUACGCUAUAACCACCACCAAAGACAACAUCAUACCACAAAAAUGGUUCUUGAAAAACGACGCCUUCAAGAACGAGUCAAUGGACAAGUGUCAUUGUUGUACAAUCAAGAAUCUUUAGUUUUCAUCCUGGAAAAAGUCUGAGAUCCCAAAAACAAUGUCGUCUGCAAGGUCAUUGUCAGGUACAACCAAUAAAGAUCACACCUUGAGCUUUCACCUUGAAAUCGUGUCUUGGUACUCGAGAAGCACCACCGGAAAUGUUGUUUACAUGUGUUGCCCGCCCCCUCUUGCCAUGGCCGCCGCUGCAAGUCCCCAGGACACGACACACAGAAAAAACAUGUGUCAUCACUUUCCAUCAUAACCAAAACUUCUCUACGCCAUUACAAUCCUCCAAUUGCAGCCAGCAUGACUUUCUUCACCACUAUCAAUACCAUGGAAAUAUAUAUUUAAGCUUGAACCAUGGCACUAACAAGACAGCGAAGCUUCACGCCUCGCCUUGAGAAGCCUCUCUGACCGAAGAUGAGGACACGCCCGACUAGAUAAAUUCCAAUCUAGAUAUCCAGUGGUGUCAUGCGCGAAAAGUUGAGAUCUCCGAGAGGAAGACCGGAACUCGCCAAUAUUCAGAUCGAGGGGGCGGCAUGAAGAAGGCCAACGUUUUCGAGCAUGAAGAACAUUAGAGUCAACCACCUUUAUUCUAACCAAGCACGACAAUCGGCCAUCCACCGGAUAACCGAACUCCAGCCAACAUGCUCACCGACAAGCCGAUGAUGCGCCUCCACCUGGCAUCCAUGACCACGACAGGUGGAUGCCCGUAUCCUCGCUGCCCUCGGUCCUCGCCACCUACGCCCAGAUCUGUGCGCACCGUACGUCGACGUCCCUGGUGCCCAGUGAUACGUCCUAAAUGUAUCUACCUUUCCAAACACUUUUGCGUUUGUUUUGAACUUUAAUUUGCAUGAUUUAAAUGCAACUAUCUCUGACUGAUACUGUUUUCAGCAGAACAACCAGGAGUUGUAGCUAUUUUAGACAUGAAGAAAAGCACACCGGAUGACACUGAGAAGCCGAGAGUUGAUGAUACCUUUGGUGGCGAGGGCGUCCUGCGAGACAAUGGCGAGCGAGGCCAGGACCACGCACGGGAACGCGGCCCAGGCCCUGGAAGUGAAAGCCAUGUUGGGAUGGCGUAGCUCUGUUUGUUCGAUCUCUAUCCCUGCAUGCAGCUAUUUUACCCCCUCUAUUUAUAUGUAGGAGCACGUGGUUGUGUCGAUUGCAACAUGUUUGUGUGUGUGUGCACCGGUCCACAAUCAUCUCUAGCAGACUCCUUAAACCGCAGACCUGAAACCGCUGUAUUCAAUUCUCAAAAAACAUGUUUUAAUGGUCGGUAGACUCCUUAAACUUAAAUUGUAUAAUCGAAUAUUCGUUGAUAUUUUCUUCCCAUGUCUUCUUCUCCCUGUCGUCUGUAUCCAUGGUUUACAAGCUCACUCCGACAAACCCGACGAAUAGUGCACGAACUGGUCAAAUAUGUAGCCGUCGGUGUCCAUGAUGGCUCGCAUAUGAAGCUGUAGCUGAGCUAGCUAGCUAGCCAGCUCCUAGCUAGCUUCUCCGACUAGUUCCAUGAUGGAAGCUCUCCGGAGCCCGCUGUGCAAGGGUGGAAUUCCCUUAUCGCGUAGCGUUGAUCGGUUUUCAGGACACCCUCGAUUUGCCUCCAAAUCUAUAAAUAAAAGGGUCAUGGGGUUGGAUUCUCAGUGGCUUGAAAAAUGUUUACGGGUUUGAUCACUUUUACAGGCUCUAUUCGUGGCGUUUUUUGACACCGCAAAAUUAAAAGUGUUAUUUUUUUUAUAGAUUUGAUCAUUUUUAAGAGGUUUUAGCAACGGAUUCGAUCGGUCGUUCAAGAUGCGCCAGGUUGCGCUAGCUCUGGCCUCUGUCGGCGGCUAUUUCCACAAAAAGUCGUUCGAGGCCAACGCAUCGACACACCAACCAUGCACGUCCUUUUCUUGACCGUUCGGGCAGCAAGGAGAGGUGUAUACGCGCUGUGGAUGCUUUGUUUAUCUUGACCCUUUUUGCAGGGUUAAAAUGGGAGGUAUAUACGCCGUGGAUGCUUUGUUUUCCAAAUAGUAUUUGUUCCAUGUUUUCCAAGAGAAAGGUAGAGAGAGGCGGCGGACAUUCCACGCAGGUAGUAGUGCUGCCUAUACAACACAACAUAUAUAGCACCAAAGUAAACACAAAUUACUGUUCUCGUUAGUUGACUGUCAAAAAGAAGAUACUGCUCUCGUUAGUUCACUGUCAAAACGGUGUGAAAGCACGGUGCGAGUGCAUUAACAUGCAUGAGUACGAUGGUGUAAAUGGGUGGGUGUAUCCAUGGACGUUGUAAUUGGUGUUUCUAAAGAAAAUAUAUUAUUCUCCUGACUUUAUCAGAGGGAAGGGAGACACACACGAAGCCAAAGAAGCAAACAACCUGCUAGCUAGCUUCGUACGUAGUCUCGGGCAAUUCGUUAUUCUUUGAAAGCUUCGGCUUCAAUAUUUUCAGUAACUUCUCAAAUCCCUUGUCAGAUAAACCAGUUUCUGCCUUCCAUUUCAAUAGUUCCAGUGUGGUACCGAGCUUUGUGCUGCCAUCUUCAUAAUUUGGGUACAAUAACUUUUUAUGAUCCUUUAGCAUGGCCUCCAACUUCAGCUUCUCCUUUUCUGUAUCGCAUUCUCUCUUUGCAUCAGAAAUGACACGACCAAGACCAUCAAGAGACUCAUUUGAUGCUGGUUGUUCUUCACCUCCUUCUUCAUUGUCUUUCAUUGUAGUAUCACCGUAUUCUUCAGUGAACAUAGGAUAGUUGUCAUCAUCAUCUUCUUAAUUAUCUUCCAUCCUAACCCUCUUUCUCUGUGCAUGGUCCAACAAUAAUAUGUGUGGGCAUGAAACCUCUCUGAAGCAAGUGGAGAUGAAUGGUUUUCGAGCUACAGUACUCCUUCACGUUUCGACAGCCAACACAUGGACAAGGCAUAAAAUUAUCCACUUUGUUUGCCUCUGCCACAUCGAUAAAUUUAUGCAGGCCUGCAAUAAAUCCGGAACCGCGUCGUUCGCCGUACACCCAUCUCUUCUGUGCAUCGAUCUGACAUUAUACAUGAAUAGUGAAAUGACCACCGUAAAUUAACACAUGCAAUAUUUUUGUAUCAAUUACAGAUCAAAAGGAUAAGGUUGCUAACCUCGGUCGAGGAUACCAUUUUGUGUGAAUUUAAGUGUGACUCGGGCAUUAGUCAUCGUACUUCCAUUGGCGGUUUAUCUGUAUUAUGAAAUUAAGUAUAUCAAAAAACCAUUGCAGAACAUCAUGAAUAGAGUAAUGACCAAAUUAAUACAAGUUCAUCAUCACAUUAAAACCAAAACACAGUAGUGAUCAAAUAUUAUUAUUGGAAAAAUAAAUACAUAAAGUUUUCUCAUAAAACAACAUACAACUAAUGUAAAAACAUUUAAAUGCAACAACAAAUGCAAUCAAAACCGCAACUAAGGUAACAAUUGACCCACUAGCAUAAUGAUACCAAGCCUCUUUAUCAAUGGCAUAUUUUAUAAUAUUCUUAAUCUUCGAGCGCAUUUCAUCCAUCUUCAAGCGCAUUGCAUCCAUCUUCAACCGCAUCGCAUCCAUCUUCAUCUUGCGAUCAUCGACGACAUCGGCAACAUGCAACCCCAGUUCCAUAUUCUUCUUCUCAAUUAUUUUAAAUUUUUUCUUCAAGUAAUUGUUUUCUUUUUCAACCAAAAUUUACUUCUCAACCAGAAUUUCUAUGUGGGUUGGAAUUUCCGGUUCACCUACCUCCUAGAUUAAAAAAUAUAUGUCACGUUGGUCGUCAUAAUUGUCACAAACACUAAAUAAAACAAAUAGUUAUAAAAGAUAAUAUAUAUACCACAUCCGAAUAAUGAAAGUAAGUAAUUUAUACAAGCAUCUAUCUAAAUCAUACAAAUAAGAAAAAAAUCAUUUAAAAGGAAGACAAGAACAAGAGGCUCACCACGGUGGUGCUCGCGUUGAGAUCGGCGCGGGUGAUCGACAACGGUGAGGACGGGCACGGUACGGCACCCUACACAUGUGCAGACUCUAAGAAGUUAAUUUGAGCUCAAAUUUUGCAUCUAAAACAAAAUAACUCCCACAUACACUCCUACACUUAAACCCACAAACCACUCUACUUCUAGAGCAUUUAAAAUGAGCUAAACUAAGAUGAAAGGAUGAAGUAGUUAACUUUUUAGAACACUUGUGUACUUGGUGAAGGGCCAAACCUAGACAAAUAUUAAGGAAAAUGGAGCUUGGAGGUCGAGCUUGGAGAGGAGAAAGUUUAAGUAGUGUGGCUCGAGCAUUUCAUUGAACAACUCAUGUGCAUGAACUAGAAGGGUGGCAAGAGCAUGGCAUGCACACCUCAAUAGCCAAAAAUAGAGGAGAGGGUGGCAGGGGCGAGGUUAUAUAUAGGCAGCAAUUUAGUCCCGGUUUUUGUCUAAAACCGGGACUAAUAGCCAACCAUUUAGUCUCGGUUCUGGUCACAAACCGGGACUAAUGCUCCGCGGCACGCCACGUGGAAGUCGCUGGAUCGUUAGUCCCAAUUUUUGCCCCGAACUAGGACUAAUGAAACAAAAUGAAACGGGACCAAUGCCCUGGCAAACUGAACCGGGACCAAUGUCUGGCAUUGGUCCCGGUUUUAGUUCGACCCGGGGCUAAUGGUCUUUUAUGCUCCGGCCGAAAGACCCAUGUUCCACUAGUGAGGGUUGUGCCAAGAAAUGGAAGCACUUCGUGUACAAAUCGGACAAUCUCUUUCGAAGCAUCAAGGUUACUUACGAAAACUCAUCUGUUACAAAAGGGAUUUCAUUUUUUUGAACUUAUUGUAAUUCAAGACUUUUUGUGUGUUCAAAAUGCACCAUUCAAGGCCACAUCAUCAAUUUUCAACACUUUCUGAGUUCAUUUGGUAUUUUUCAUGCAUUUACUAAUUUGUUUUGAGCUAAAUGAACCAGAAAUUAAGAAGCAGUACAAAUGAACUCUGAAUAGCUUGAAAGUUGGCAUGGUAUCAUCAUUUCACCCACAUAGGAUGUGCUAAAAAGAUGAGAGGGUUGCGGCAAAAAACUGAAUGCACUUCGUGUACAAAUCGGACAAUCUCUUUCGAAGUAUUAGGGUUUCUUACGAAAUCUCAUCUGUUACAAAAGGGAUUUUAUUUUUCAAAACUUAUUUGAACUCAAGACUUUUUGUGUGUUCAAAAUGCAUCAUUCAAGGCCACAUCACCAAUUUUCAACACUUUCUGAGUUCAUUUGGUAUUUUUCAUGCAUUUACUAAUUUGUUUUGAGCUAAAUGACCCAGAAAUUGAAAAGCAGUACAAAUAAACUCUGAAUAGGUUGAAAGUUGGCAUGGUAUCAUCAUUUCACCCACAUAGCAUGUGCUAAAAAGAUGAUAGGGUUGCGGCAAAAACUAAAUGCACUUCGUGUACAAAUCGAGCAAUCUCUUUCGAAGUAUUAGGUAUUCUUAUGAAAACUCAUGUGUUACAAAAGGGAUUUCAUUUUUUAAACUUAUUUAAACUCAAGACUUUUUGUGUGUUCAAAAUGCACCCUUCAAGGCCACAUCACCAAUUUAGGGCGAGAAGAAGAGACCUUUAGUCCCGGUUGGUGCCGCCAACCUACACGAAAGGGCAUAUUUCGUGUCGGUUGGUGGCACAAACCGGGACUAAAGGACUAUGCCUGCCACAGCCGUGGUGCGGUUGGAUGUUUAGUCCCACCUCGCUAGCCGAGAGAGCCCGAGAGUGGUUUAUAAGCGCUGGUGCGCUGACCCUCUCGAGCUCCUCUCAACUGUAGGCUUCUGAGCCUAAUUUGUCACUGCUUGUGGGUCUAUUGGGCCUUCUGCGGGCCUGAAUCCUGGCCCAACUCUCUGGUUGGGUCUGUAGUCGUAUUGAGGCCGUGGUGGCCCAGUAGGUGGCAUUUUUUUUAAAAAUCUAUUUUUUGUUUUUUUUUACUUUUUAAAUUUUAUUUUGUGAAUAACUUUAUAAAAAUAGAUUUUUGAGUGAUUCUUUUUCCUUCUAUUUAAUAUUACUGCGUUUUUAUCAUUAUAUUCAACUUGGUAAGUUUUAGGUUAUUUGAAAUGACUUUUUAAUAAAAAACAAAUCUGUUUAUAAAACAAAUUUCAUUAUUUGAAUUUAUUUGAACUGAAUAUUUUUUGUAUAUAUAUGUGGUCGAAAUGUAUGAUAACAUGAAGUUAGAAAGGGCUAAACGAUUUAAAAGUAGCAAAUGAAGUUAGCAAUGGCUAAACCAUUCAAAUUUAGAAACAAUAAUGACACAAACAGAAACUAGACAUAUAUAAAUUGUUCCAAGCAGUACAUAAUAAUACUAGUUCAAAUAGUACAUAAUAAUAGCUAGCAUGGAUAUAUAUACAAUUGUUCGUCAUUGUGAACACUACUCAUCUGGAUUGUCUGAAUCAGAAUGUCCACCUUGUGGGAGGUGACGCUUGCCAUAGUUGGCGACUUAUAUCUUACGUUACAACUCUUAUGAAACGUAUGCAUCUUUUGUUGCAUACUCAAUGUCGAUAGGGUCAAGUGGGGUCCUCUUCCAAACGAUAUGAAAUGGGCAUGCGUUGAUAGGUCAGACGAACCUAGACAGGCCAAAACGAUAUGAAAUGUAUAUUGUAAUGUUGUGACGUGCCACUGCACUCUGCACACUCUAGCGGCAGAAGUCGUGGAGAAAUACAUGGUUAAUUCGGCCCACCAUGCACACCCAUCCUUCUCCUUGACCGCUGGGUUGGUUUCAGUCAGUCGUGUAGCUGCUUGCACCAAGAAAAACCUAGGGGCAACUCGCCACAUUUGACUGACUUUAGCUUCUUUUGCAGUCCACGCCGGGUCAUGCAAUCGAUUACAAACAUCUCGCUGUUUGGAAAAAUAAUAAAAAUUUGAUUGAAAAAGAGGCAAGUGACUUCGAAACCUGUAUUUGCACUAGUAGAAAACAGGGCAUUGAGCCAACCACAUUGGACCCGGAUUGGAUAUAAACCGGUUCUAAAGGGUCUGUUCGCUGGGCCCCCUCCCUGCAGCAAAUGGCCGCAAGGUUUUUGGACCGUUUGCUGCAGGGAGGGGGGCCCAGUGGACAGGCCCUUUAGAACCGGUUUGUAUCACAAACCGGUGCUAAAGGUUUUCUCAUUUUUGUAGCAACUGCGGGGGCCCCGCUGUCAGAUCCUUUAGCACCGGUUUUUGACACAAACUGGUCCUAAAGCCCUCCUCUCCUUCCUCCUCGAGCACCCCUAUAUUCCACCCCAUUUUUUCUAGCUCCAUUUUUUCUAGCUCGAGCUCAACUCCAUUUUUGCUCUCUCCUUCCUCUUGGGAGCUCUAAUCCAUCCCCAUUUUUCUCCACCAUUUGUCAAGAUUGUUGGCACCCAUCGGUCCUACGGUUAGCAUCAACAUUCCCUCUUCCAGUAUCGCAAGUUUUGCUCGUUUUCUUGCUCAUUUUAUUUUUGUUGUGCUAGCUAGGUGUUUGAUGAAAUGCCUAAGCUAGAGAGAGUUCAUCAUUUGUUAUGUAUACAUAUGCAAUUUGAGCUCAAAUUUAAUUAUGAUUUGUGGUUUUUUUUAGUGUCGCGCGCCUUGUCCGCUUCCUCACCGCCGUCGAUCGCCCCGUCACCGACACAACCUUGGUGAGCCUAUUGUUUUUAUUUACCAAAACAAAUUUUGAUUUGUAUGAUUUACAUAUUUACUUGUAUAUAAUUUUCUUAUUGUGUAAGAUUUUUUUUAUAUGUAUAGCGCCAUGGUUUUGAUAUCCGUCCCCGUUGGCCCUCGUCCAGUCUAUGAUUCGGAUGUGGUAUAUUAUCUUUUAUAACUACAUAUUUUCAUUUCCUGAUUAUAUGACAAUUAAUUACGCCGACCAACUUGACAUAGAUAUUUUUAUCUAGGAGGUAGUGGAACCGGAAAUGCCAAUCGACCCUAUUGUUGAGAAGUUACACUUAGUUGAACAAGAAAAUGUUGGUCUGAAAGAAAGAUUGAAAAAAACUGAAGAAAGGUUGGAAAUAACUGAAAGAGAGAAGAUGACCUUGGAAAAGGUUCUUGCCGGUGUCGUCGAUGGUCACAAGAGCGAGAUGGACGCAAUGCGUCUGAAGAUUAGAAAGAUUAGAAAAUAUGCAAUUAGUAAAGAGGCUUGGUAUCAUUAUGCCGUCGGGUCAAUUGUUACCUUUGUUGCGAUUUUGAUCGCAUUUGUUGUUGUUUUUAAAUGCAUUAAUUAGAGAGAGUUUUUAUGGUUGGUUUCAGUGUGUGUUUUUAUGAGAACUAUAUAUGUAUGGUCACUACACUACUUUGGUUUUAACGUGUGAUGAACUUUUUGUAUUAAUUAAUUAAUUUAGUCAUGAUGAUUUAGCAUAAUGGUUUUUGAUAAAUUUAUAUAAUGCAGAUGAACUGGCAAUGGAUGUACAGUGAUCGACGUCGUCCCGAAUUCCUUAAUGGCAUGCAUAGUUUUCUCAAUGUGGCUGAGAAAAACAGGCAGAAUGAAUUUAUUUUUUGUCCAUGUAAAAAAUGCCAGAAUAAGAGGAAUUUCCCUAACUCAAAAACCAUACACACCCACCUGUUGCAAGAAGGCUUCAUGCCCAGAUAUUUUUGUUGGACCAAGCACGGAGAAAGAGGGAUUGUAAUGGAAGACAAUGAAGAAGAAGAGGAUAAUGAUAACUAUCCUAUGUUCGGUGAACACGGUGAUACUGAAAUGGGGGAAGACAAGCCUGAACUUGAGGACAUUGUUGAUGAGUCUGAUGAUGAUCUUCGUCAGGUCAUUCGUGAAGAACAGAUAAACUGCGGAAGUGAAAACAAGAGGUUGAAGUUGGAGCGCAUGUUAGAAGAUCACAAAAAAUUGUUGUACCCAAAUUGCGAAGAUGGCCAGAAAAAGCUGGGCACCACCCUAGAAUUGCUGCAAUGGAGGCAGAGAAUGGAAUAUCUGACAAGGGAUUUGAAAAGCUGCUGAAAAUAAUGAAGAAGAUGCUUCCAAGAGAUAACGUGCUGCCCUGCAGUACGUACGAAGCAAAGAAGGUUGUCUACCCUCUAGGAUUGGAAGUGCAUAAGAUACAUGCAUGCAUCAAUGACUGCAUCCUCUACCGCGGUCAGCACGAGAAUUUAAAUGCCUGCCCGGUAUGCGGUGCAUUUCGGUAUAAGAUCAGGCGAGAUGACCCUGGUGAUGUUGAGGGCGACGACCGCCCCAGGAAGAGGGUUCUUGCCAAGGUGAUGUGGCAUGCUCCUAUAAUACCACGGUUGAAACGUUUGUUCCGAAACAAAGAGCAUGCCAAAUUGCCGCGAUGGCACAAAGAAGACCGUAAGGAAGACGAUAUGCUGAGACAACCCGCUGAUGGGUCGCAGUGGAGAAACAUCGACGAUAAGUACGAGGACUUUGCACGUGACCCAAGAAACUUAAGGUUUGGUCUAAGUACAGAUGGCCUGAAUCCGUUUGGGGAGCAGAGUAGCAGUCAUAGCACCUGGCCCGUGACUCUAUGUAUCUAUAACCUUCCUCCUUGGUUAUGCAUGAAGCGUAAGUUCAUUAUGAUGCCAGUGCUUAUCCCAGGCCCGUCGCAACCCGGCAACAACAUUGAUGUGUACCUGAGGCCACUGGUUGAUGAACUUUUAGAGUUAUGGGCUGACGAAGGUGUACGUGUGUGGGACGAGUACAAACAGGAGAAAUUUGACCUACGAGGGUUGCUGUUUGUAACCAUCAAUGAUUGGCCUGCUCUUAGUAAUAUCUCAGGACAGUCAAACAAGGGAUAUAGCGCAUGCACACACUGUUUAGGCGAGACUGAAAGUAUACAUAUAGGCAAGAAUGUGUACCCGGGGCAUCGUCGAUUUCCUCCAGACAGGCAUCCCGUAAGAAAGAAAGGACAGCAUUUCAAAGGCGAGGCAGAUACACGGAGGAAGCCAACCCUCCCUAAAGGUACUGAUAUAUAUGACAUGGUCAAAGAUAUAAAAGUAAUCUUUGGUAAGGGUCCUGGCGCACAAUCUGUUCCGAAUGACGCCGACAACCACGUAGCCAUGUGGAAGAAGAAAUCUAUAUUCUGGGAACUACCCUAUUGGAAAUUCCUAGAGGUUCGCUCUACGAUCGACGUGAUGCACGUGACAAAACAUAUUUGCGUGAACCUGCUAAACUUAUUGGGCGUGCAUGGGAAGAAGUCGAGAGAUACACCAAAAGCACGGCUGCACCACCAACGUAUGCACGAACGAGACGACCUGAUGAAUCGAGAGAAUUUCAAAGGUCCUGCCAGCUACGCUCUUACCAAGGAAGAGAAGGAGAUCUUUUUCCAAGUCCUGAGCAGUAUCAAGGUCCCGUCUGGCUACUCGUCGAACAUAAAAGGAAUACUAAACCUGGAAGAGAAAAAGUUCCAAAACCUAAAGUCUCAUGACUGCCACGUGAUCAAGACCCAGUUACUUCCGAUUGCAUUGAGGGGGCUUCUGCCAGAAAACGUGCGAGUACCCAUUGUGAAGCUAUGUGCAUUCCUCAACGCAAUUUCUCAGAAGGCAAUCGAUCCAGCAACUCUACCAAGUUUACAGAAGGACGUGGUCCAAUGUCUUUUCAGCUUCGAGUUGGUGUUCCCACCAACCUUCUUCAAUAUUAUGACGCACCUCAUAGUUCACCUAGUCCAAGAGAUUUCCGUUCUCGGUCCUGUAUUCUUACACAAUAUGUUCCCCUUUGAGAGGUUCAUGGGAGUCUUGAAGAAUUAUGUUAAAAACCGUGCUAGGCCAGAAGGAAGCAUAGUCAAGGGCUAUGGAACAGAGGAGGUCAUUGAGUUUUGUGUUGACUUUAUUCCUGACCUGAACCCGAUCGGUGUUCCUCAGUCGCACCAUGAGGGGAGACUGCGUGGAAAAGGCACGCUAGGAAAGAAAUCAAAAACAUGUAUGGACGAGCAAUCUUUCACUCAAGCACACUACAUAGUUCUAGUUAAUUCCAGCUUGGCGGAUCCAUAUAUCCAGGAACACAAGGAUAUUUUACGCUCGGAAUACCCAGAGCAACCUGAAGAUUUCAUUGCUAAAGAACACGCGAAGACUUUCGGCGGUUGGUUGCAAAGACGUCUCAUUAAUGACAACAUUGUUGAAGAUGAGCUAUACUUGUUGGCCAAGCAACCAUCUUCGACUGUAUUGACCUUUAAAGGGUACGAGAUAAAUGGUAACACAUUUUACACGGCAGACCAAGAUAAAAAGAGCACCAACCAAAACAGUGGCGUCCGGUUUGAUGCAAAAGACGACAACGGGCAAAGGGUCACAUACUAUGGUUACAUAGAGCAGAUAUGGGAUCUUGACUACGGACCUUCCUUUAAGGUCCCUUUGUUCUGGUGCAAAUGGUUCAACCUGUCAGGCGUGAAGGUAGACCCGAAGUACGGAAUGACAACAGUGGAUCAGAAGAAUCUUGGGUACGGCAAUGAUCAAUUCGUCCUAGCCAAUGAUGUGGCUUAGGUUUUCUAUGUGGAGGUUGGGUUCGAUGAUUUUUUCCAGAUGUACAAUCAACGUGCCCUCGACAAAGCUAUCGUCAGCUGCUACUGUUUGUAAGUGAUUUAUUUGUGUAAUUUAAUUAUUUAGUUAAGCUCGCGUUCAUUGCCCGUAUAAUUAUCACUCACGAGACAUUCUUUUUGUAUGCUACUAUGCAGAAUGAAGAUUCGUGAAUGCAGGCUGGCAGGAAUCUGGGACUUUGGGUUCAUUGACCCGUAUUCGUUUCAUCAAGAGACAAUAGAAAAGUUCAACAAGGAUACACCGGAUGAUUUGCUAAGGUUUUUGAAGCGACAAAGUACCAAAAAAGAAAUACUUUGGCCCUACGGAUUCAAGUGAGUGUUACUGUCUUGUACACAUUCCAUUUUGCUUACCUGAUGUUAAGUGUAAUUGAUGAGUAUGCAUGACUGCGUGUGUACACGUGCGCAGGUCCCACUUCAUAUUGUUCAUCAUUAGAAUCGAUCAAGGACAAGUUGAAGUCUGGGACCCGUUAACCUGGGACGCUGACAAAUGGAAGAGCGCGCGUCAGAUGCUUCAAAGGUAUAUAUAUAUCGGCCUCUUUCGUUCAUCGGCCUCUUUUUCGUUCAUUUCCUGAUAUCAAGUAAGUAAUAAUUAACUCUUGUAUUCAUUUUUCUUUGUCGGCCAGAGUUUGGCAAAUGUUCAUCAAGGAAGAACCCGGUACAUGGGCAGACAAGCUCCACUUUUAGAUUAACAAAGUAAGUAGUACUACGUACCCUGGUUUCAAUACCAUUACCAUUCUCUUGAUUAUUAUUAAUUUGACUGAAUUAUGUUCUCGUAUAUAGGGCGUCCCGCAACAACCACAUGGCACUGAUUAUUGUGGAUACUACGUUUGCGAGUACAUUCACAGGAUUAUCAAUGAGAAAUCCCGUACUUCCAGAAAUCCAGAGGUACGUAACCGGAUCUUCACAACUUUAUUUAUGUUGCCAUCAAUUAUGUUAGUUUUGUUCAUAACUUAAUUGUUUUCAUCUACUUCUUUUAAAGCUGCAACGAAAGCGGGCGAUGCUAAGACCAAUCCAACGUUGCAAGGCAGUUGCAGAGGAAUUGGCAGGAUUUCUCCUCACGCAAGUCAUAGAUGAAGGCGGAGAAUUUUUCCAUCCUAUGAACCAAUAGCCAGCUCCCUUCUCUAUGCAAGUAUACAACUAUAGGAAACGAACUUCAAAUUAUGUAAUGAUAAUCGGUCCAGUACUUCGUGUUACAUGUAUAUAUGUACUUUUAUUUGGUGCAUCAACAUUUAACCGCAAACACGGAAUCGGAAACACUUAACCGCAAACACGGAAUCGGUGUUUCCGGAUACGUGUUUCCGAUUACGUGUUUCCGAUUCCGUGUUCGUAAAAAACGGAACACGGACACACGGAAUCGGAAACACGGAAUCGGAAAGACGUAAACGGAAAUACGGAACCGGAAACACGUAAACGAAAACCCUGAAAAUACGGAACACGGAAACACCGAAAUACGGAAUCGGAAACCCUGAAAAGAAAAGGAAAAAAAAAGAAAAAAAAAGACAUUAGGACCGGUUGGUGUUACCAACCGGUUCUAAAGGUCCUCCGCCUGCGCACAGUCUUCGGCGCCCACGUGGAGGCAUUUAGAACCGGUUUGUAAGAGACCGGUGCUAAAGGGGGGGGGGGGCUUUAGUCCCGGAUACGUAGCACCGGAUGUGUAUCCGGGUCCAAAGGCCCUUACCAACCGGUUCUAAUACCCCUUUCUCCACUAGUGUUGGUCCUUCGUAGUUAACAGAAUAUACAGACAAUGUACUAGCCAUAAAAAGUUUUGGAGAGAAACAAAGGCACAUAUUCCAUAAAAUCGGACGAUUCACACGGCAUGAAGGAGACCAAGUGUUUCACCCCGGGUAAAACCCAAAUAGAAGCCUCCUAGGUUUAAAAAAAGAAGAUAACCCGGCCUCUGCGUCAGCAUGAUGCAUGCAUCCAUUUUAUUAAGCAAAAUUAGUAGAAAACAAAGUGCAAUAUCUGACAUGAACACUCAAGCAAAGCCCAAAACAAUGAUCAAAAGAGAAAAAUGCGACAUCAGGUGAAACGAUAAUAGGCUACAAUGACUAAACACCUAGCCCAUUAAUUAGCCACCAUUCAAAUUGGUUUAAGAUAACCCAUAUCGCUGUAUUUCAACGGUUGCACCCAGUAAUCAAAAGCUCCCCGGACUCUGCAUGUGUGAGUUACAACCACGCAUGAAUUCAAGUUGUGGCUCUGUAUCAUGUCAUUUCUGCAGUUCCAUAUAGCCUAGAAUAGUGCACAUAUCCCUAUCCGAAUAUGACGUGCUAAAUUUGUUUCCACUCCAUUAAGCCACGUCCUAAAUAACGUCUUCAUACUACGUGGAGGGUUAAUGUUGAAGGGUAUAUGUAAAGUACGCCAUAGUAGUAGGGAAAGCGGACGAUCGAGAAAGAGAUGUUUUAAAGUUUCAUUUUGAUCACAAAAUAAGCAUCUAGAAUUGCCUAUCCAUCUUCUCUUAAUCAAAUUAUCCUUUGUCAAAAUCACUCCCUUACGAAAAAACCAUAUAAAUAUUUUAAUUCAAAGGGACACCUUAAUCUUCCAGAUGUGUAAGGAUAUCAUUAAUGGCCCAGAAUCAAUAAGAUCUAGAUACAUCAAUAAGAUCUAGAAGCCUCCUGGUUAAUUUUAACAGAAACAAUAGUAAGCAUGGAAGAGAUACCACGGAAGACGCGGGCAUUGCCCUCGGUCCAAAUUUCCCACUCCGUGAGUGUUGGGGAUAUUACCUGUUGAUAACCCGCCUUAGUUGGGCCGGGUCACGAAAUCACGCGAUUCAUCUAAGCGUGGUUCGGGCCUUGGCCUGGCAAGACCGAAGGUUGUAUGGCGGUUUACAACUUCCGGAAGGUCUCCAAGCUUUGGAAGAUGGCGAUUUGGAGAUCAUAAAAGUCACGGUUUGUAGAAAGGAAAGUACCUUUGUAAACCCUAGGGACUCGUCCUGUAUAUAAAGGCGAGUCCCAGGGAAGAAGAGGGCAGGUUAGAAAUCAUCGAGUGCUAGGUCUGGCGAGUUACGCCAUCCUUGUAAUCGAAACUCCAUCAAUACAACUCAAAGCAGGACGUAGGCCUUUACCUCUUCACGAGGGGCCGAACCUGGGUAAAUCGCCGUCUCUCUCCCGUUCAACCCCUUUGAGUCGCCACCAAAGUGCGAUGGCUCCAGUACUAAGUCCUUUCACGAGGACAUCUGCCGUGACAAAACCACGACAGUUGGCGCCCACCUUGGGGCCUGCGCACGGUGGAGUUGAGUUCUCAAAGGGAGCCCUACCAGGGUUUGGGAGCUACGCGACGGGGCUCAUGACCCGGAGCCGCCGUGGGAAGAUCUACAUAGACAACCUGCAAUGGGGACCUGAUGGGGUUAUAGUCCUAGGGUAGGGUCAUAGGCCUGCCCUACAUGUCCUACCCAAGGAUUACCCCACACAAAGGACAGGACCUUAAGUCUGCCCUGACUGGAUUAAGGUAUCCCCAUCAUCCAGUCGGUAACAGGCCCAGAAUCAUCCAGUCGGCAACUAGCAUUCGGAGAACACCAGGCUCACCGACUGGAUACACUCGGUACGUCGUAACCUCUCAGGAGUGAAACUGCCGUACGUUUCCGGGUGCAUUUAUUAGCAUUUAGAGCAUACGUUACCUGUAACGUAUGCAUUCAAUCGCCACUACUCCACCCUUGAAUCAGAACCGUUGUGGAGGGCAGCGCACUCUAUAUAAGCCGCCCUCCCCCACUGGUAAAGGGGUUAGAAAAACAUUGUACUCCAUAUUACACUCGGUAACAAGCUCCGAGAGCACUGAGACGUAGGCUAUUACCUCCACCGUAGAGGGGCCUGAACUCAUACAACCUCGCCGUAGCUAGGACUCUGCCCAUCUCAUUAGUACCCUACACAUCUACUGUCAGGCUUAUACCCACGACAGUUGGCACCCACCGUGGGGCAGGCGUCUAAGCGACUUCCGGCGAGUUUGCGACUACUUCCUUUCGUCAUGUCGUCCGGUGGAGAUUCGAGCAUGGGUCACCAGAUCCUCUUCGGUGCUCUCUCCUUCGUCGUCGAUGAUUCGGCGUGGCUUCGGGAGGCACCUCUCGACGUCGAGGCGCUUCCCCGUCGCGGGGCCACGAACUUCUGUGCCGGCGCUCGCGGCGUUCUUCUUCUUCAACAAUCGGAUCCAUUGCCGGCUUGCACCUUCGUCACGCGCCGCAGUAAGCGGUGCCGCAGUCCACGUCUCCAACGUUGGGUGCAACAUGCCCGAGCACGCUAGAUCGCGUCCCCUCAGGUGGCAGUUCUGGAGUCUAUUGUGGUCGCCCCGCGCUCCCAGUGCUCGGGCUCGGUUCCGACUGAGCUCCCUUCCGAGUACGCGGGUCGUGGGCCUGCAGCAGAAGUACACAUGGCUAACUCCCAUGAAGACCCUCGUCAAGCCGACCGAGGUGAAAUCGGCGAAGCAUCCGGUGCGCGCCGUCCGCCUCGUCGUUCUGCCAGUCGACACACUCGGCGGAGCAGCGUGGAGUUGUUCCGCACACCUCUCCUCAACUUGGCCGCGGCUGCCCUGAUUGCCGAUUCCCUCCGGCCGACUGAUUCAGAGGCAGGAAGGGGAAUCGAGCAAAUCCGAGCUCUGUUGCGCACGGCGCAGCAGCAGAAUUCGGCGGUCUCCCAGUCACACAAUCAGAUCCACAAUAGUUUCGUCCAUGCAAACACGCAUCGAUCGGUUCACAGCCCUGGUUCUCAUCAGUAUCGCCGUCGCUCACGCACCCCUCCGACAUCAUGAUGAUCGGCGUUCGGUCGGCGACACUUACGACCCAAGACCCGACGCGAGGGGGCGAAUCGCCUAGCAAAGAGUCGACAGGGGUCGAGCCCACCGCGAUGGUCGCGAUAUGGACCGUCCGAGUGGAAGCAGGACCAUCGUAUCCGGCCCCGAUUGUUUUAGUCGAGCCAUCCGCUCAGCUGAUAUCCCGUCCAACUUCCGAUUGGUAGCGGGAAUCGGUAAAUUCUCAGGGGAGUCCAAGCCUGAAACAUGGCUAGACGACUACCGAGUGGCAGUCCAGAUCGGAGGAGGAGACGACCAUGUCGCUAUGAAGCACCUCCCUCUGAUGCUCGACGGCUCGGCUCGAGCUUGGCUGAACCAGUUGGCCCCCUCAAGCAUUUACAGUUGGGCAGAUUUAGCCCGAGUGUUCAUCAGAACUUUCGAAGGGGCGUGCAAGCGUCCUGCACGUCUUGUGGAGCUUCAACACUGUGUCCAGAAGCCGAAUGAGCCCUUGCGCGACUUCAUCCAGUGAUGGACGACUCUUUACCACACGGUGGAGAACGUCACCGAGCAUCAAGCAGUCUGCGCCUUCAAGGCAGGCGUGCGGUACAGAGAGUUGUACUUGAAGUUCGGUCGAACGGGCGACAUCUCCAUGAGCAAGAUGAUGGAGAUAGCGGCUCGCUACGCAAAUGGCGAAGAAGAGGACCGCAUCCGGAGUGGCAAACACAAGACAGUCGGCGAUGUCGAUGGAGGUAACACUCGGAAGCAGAAACAAAAGGUUCCGCACACACCGCAAGCAGAAGCUGUAGCUGUAACCAGCGCCAAGUUCAAGGGCAAAGGGAAAACACAGUUCACCCCCAAGAAGAAACCUUUCAACAAUCCCAUCGUGGACCAGUCUUGUCCGGUUCACACGAAAAUGGACGAGGAAGGCAACCCCAUAUACGCGAAGCACACCACUCGGCAGUGCCGUCUCUUGAUCCAGGGGUUCAGCGAAGGGCAGCCGAGUAAGAAGAAUCCCGAACAAGAUGAGGAGGACAAGGAGGAUCCGUUCCCCCAAGUCCAUGCAACCCUCAUGAUUUUUGCUGACGUCGAAAGCAAGAGUCGACUGAAGUUGGUGAACAGAGAAGUCAACAUGGCCGUUCCGACUGCCCCCAAGUUUCUCAAAUGGUCUCAGACUGCGAUCACCUUCGACCAGUCAGAUCAUCCAACACAUGUCCCCACCCCAGGAAGGCAGGCUCUGCUCGUCGACCCGGUGGUGGAAGGAGUCCGACUGCGCAAAGUCCUCAUGGACGGCGGUAGCGGACUGAAUAUUAUGUACACCGACACUCUCAAGGGGAUGGGCAUUCCGAUGACCAGACUCAGCGAGAGCAAUAUGCAGUUCCACGGAGUCGUCCCUGGACGGAAGGCUAAAUCACUCGGCCAGAUCGCAUUGGAAGUCAUCUUCGGCUCUAACAAGAACUUUCGCAAGGAGAAGCUCACGUUUGAGGUGGUGGAUUUCCACAACGCUUACCAUGCAAUUCUGGGCCGCCCGGCAUACGUGAGUUUCAUGGCACGCCCGUGCUAUGUGUACUUGAAGUUGAAAAUGCCCGGUCCAAAAGGCGUUAUCACCAUCACCGGCAACCGCCAGCGAGCCGAGGAGUGUCUGCAAGAGGGAUCAUGGAUCGCCGACCAGCAGAUGGCUGUACUCGAGCUCGAAGAGUACAAGAAGACAGUCGACCCUGCCGACUUAAUGCGCUCAAAGAAGCCAGCUUCUGAGUCCGCGUUCCAGUCGGGGGGAGAGACUAAGAAGGUCAGCAUCCACCCGACGGACGAGUCUGCCGUCCCGACGAACACCUCCACCACCCUAGAUCCUAAAUAGGAAGCCGAGCUCACCCAAUUCCUCCGUGAGAACUGGGACAUCUUCGCAUGGAAGCCAUCUGACAUGCCGGGUGUACCUAGGGAGUUGGCUGAGCACCGACUGCAUGUGGAUCCCGCCGCUCGGCCUGUCCGAGAGCGCUUGCGCCGGUCCGCCGCGCACAAGAGGAAGACAAUCGGAGAAGAGGUGGCUAAGCUGCUAGCUGCCAACUUCAUUCGCGAGGUUCACCACUCCGAGUGGCUCGCCAAUGUAGUCAUGGUGCCCAAGAAGGACAAGUCACUUCGAAUGUGCAUUGAUUUCAAGCACCUCAAUAAGGUCUGCCCAAAAGACCAUUUUCCGCUCCCCCGCAUAGAUCAAAUUGUCGAUUCGACUGCGGGAUGCGAGCGUUUGUCAUUUCUUGAUGCCUACUCGGGUUAUCAUCAGAUCCGUCUGUAUGGUCCCGAUGAGUUGAAAACAGCUUUCAUCAUCCCGUUUGGGUGCUUCUGCUACAUCACUAUGCCUUUCGGUCUGAAGAAUGCAGGAGCUACCUUUAUGCGCAUGAUCCAAAAAUGUCUCCUCGACCAGAUCGGUCGCAAUGUGGAGGCAUACAUGGAUGAUAUCGUAGUCAAGUCACGCAAAGGUUCCGUCCUGUUGACUGACUUGGCAGAAACAUUCGCCAACCUUCGUAGGUACGAUAUCAAGCUAAACCCAGCCAAAUGUUCAUUCGGUGUUCCCAGCGGAAAGUUACUCGGUUUCUUCGUUUCCGAACGAGGGAUCGAUGCUAACCCCGAAAAGAUCGGGACCAUCGUCCGAAUGGAGAGGCCGGUCAGAAUACACGAUGUUCAACGGCUCACAGGUUGCCUAACGGCUUUGAGCAGGUUCAUCAGUCGACUCGGCGAAAAAGCACUUCGUCUGUACCGACUCAUAAAGAAGUCAGAUACCUUCGAGUGGACAGACGAAGCCCAAGUCGCAUUCGACGACCUCAAAGUCCUACUUUCCACCCAGCCGGUUCUUACUGCUCCGCUCAGUAAAGAGCCCCUUCUUCUAUAUAUCGCGGCUACAAAUCAAGUCGUCAGUACUGUUCUUACAGUCGAGCGAGAAGAAGAAGGCAAAGCAUACAAAGUUCAGCGGCCAGUGUACUACGUCUCCGAAGUCCUGACGCCUUCCAAGCAGAGGUAUCCCCAUUAUCAAAAGCUUAUCUAUGGGAUCUAUAUGACUGCAAAGAGGGUGGCCCAUUAUUUCCAAGACCACUCGGUAUCUGUCGUUUCUGAUGCUCCGUUGUCGGAAAUUCUCCACAACCGGGGCGCAUCGGGCCGAGUGGCGAAGUGGGCCAUGGAGAUGCUGUACUGCGACAUCAAGUUCGAGGCCAAGAAAGCUAUUAAGUCUCAAGCCCUGGCUGACUUUAUAGCAGAAUGGGUAGAACUACAGCAACCGACUCACAUCUACUCGGCUCAUUGGACAAUGGUCUUCGAUGGGUCUAAGAUGUUGAAUGGAUCCGACGCUGGGGUUGUGAUCAUAUCGCCAAAGGGCGACAAGCUCAAGUACGUGCUUCAGAUACACUUUGAUUCCUCUAAGAAUGAGGCAGAGUACGAAGCUCUUCUCUACGGAUUGCGCAUGGCCAUCUCACUCGGCGUCCGUCGCCUGAUGGUCUACGGCGAUUCAGACUUGGUGGUCAACCAAGUGAUGAAAGAGUGGGACGUAAGGAACCCCACCAUGACGACAUACUGCAAUGCAGUCAGGAAGCUGGAGAAGAAGUUUGAAGGUCUAGAACUUCAUCAUGUUCCAAGACUGAAGAACCAAGCAGCGGACGAGUUGGCGAAACUCCGAUCCACUCGGAGACCAGUCCCGAGUGAUGUCUGCCUUGAGCACCUCCAUAUUCCUUCAGUAAAAGAAGAUCCCUUCAUGGAAGAAUCAGUACAACCCAAGAGCGCAACAGAUCCGACUGAAGUCGAUGUGCCUGCUGUGGUUGAUCUGGUCACAGAGAUUCUGGUAAUCAUUCCCGAUUGGAUUGUGCCGAUUAUGGCAUAUAUCCUCAGACAAGAACUUCCAGAAGAUGAAGUCCAAGCCCGGCAAAUAGUUCGCAGGUCGAAGGCAUUCACUGUCAUUAACGAUCAAUUGUACAAGGAGAGUGUUUCAGGCGUCCUCCAACGUUGCAUUUCCCCCAGAGGAAGGACAGUUGAUCCUAGAGGAUAUCCACUCGGGAACCUGUGGCCAUCACGCUUCUUCGAGAGCAAUUGUCGCCAAGGCGUUCAGAGCUGGAUUCUUCUGGUUGCAGGCUAACGAGAUGGCCAAAGCUAUGGUCGAUCGAUGCGAAGGCUGUCUGUUCUACUCCAACAAGUCCCACAAGCCAACAUCUGCACUAAAGACAAUCCCACUUGUGUGGCCAUUUGCAGUUUGGGGAUUAGACGCAGUCGGACCAUUCAAGACAGGCCAAGGAGGCUACACACAUCUGUUGGUGGCAGUCGACAAGUUUACAAAAUGGAUAGAAGCCAAGCCCAUCAAGAAACUCGACGCCUCCACAGCCGUGAAGUUUGUCAGAGACAUCAUCUCCAGAUUCGGAGUGCCUCACAGCAUAAUCACGGACAAUGGGACAAACUUCGACUCGGACGGAUUCAAAGGUUUCUGUGCGAGUCAGGGUAUCCGAGUGGAUUUUGCUUCCGUUGCACAUCCGCAAUCCAAUGGACAAGCUGAGCGUGCGAAUGGACUUAUCCUUCAAGGUUUGAAGCCUUGACUCUUGCGGGAGGUAGGACAUGCUGCUGGUGCAUGGGUAACCGAGUUACCUUCAGUACUUUGGGGCCUCCGCACCACUCCGAACAGAUCAACAGGGCGAUCACCGUUCUUUCUCGUCUAUGGAGUAGAAGCGGUCCUUCCGAGUGACCUGCUUCACAAUGCCCCGCGAGUCGAACUCUUCUCCGAAGCCGAAGCAGAACAAGCAAGGCAAGAUGGAGUCGAUCUUCUAGAGGAGGAGCGCGAGAUGGCACUUACUCGCUCAACAAUUUACCAGCAAGAUCUGCGACGUUUUCAUGCACGACAUGUCAGGAGCCGCACGUUCCAAGCUGGCGAUUUGGUGCUCCGAGUGGAUCAGCAAAGACCACACAAGUUGGCUCCGGCCUGGGAAGGGCCUUUCAUCAUUUCCAAGGUGCUGAACAACGGGGCAUACAGACUCUACAACAUUCAGAGGGAGACAGACGAGCCAUGCGCAUGGAACGGAGACCUCCUCAAGCGUUUUUAUACGUGAUCGUCGACUGAAGCAGUGUAACGAACAAGUUUUGACGAAAUAAUAUACAGCAGAUUUAGUUUCUUUUGCAGAUUCAGAGUUCUUCCGCGGUUGCAGACUACAGUCACACACACAAAAAAACUUAGCCGCGAUCCCGAAUCGCCUAAGUAAUACUUUCUUCGAGUGUGCACUAUACGUCGCACUGGGGGACUUAGCUGUGAUCAAGAAUCACCUAAGUAAUACCUUCCUCCGAGUGUGCACUUCACGUCGCACUCGGGGGACUUAGCUGCGAUCCUGCAUCGACCUAAGUACUAACUUCCUUCGAGUGUGCACUAUACGUCGCACUCGGGGUCUUAGCUGUGAUCAAGAAUCACCUAAGUAAUACCUUCCUCCGAAUGUGCACUUCACGUCGCACUCGGGGACUUAGCUGCGAUCCUGCAUCGCCUAAGUACUAACUUCCUUCGAGUGUGCACUAUACGUCGCACUUGGGGACUUAGCUGUGAUCAAGAAUCACCUAAGUAAUACCUUCUCCGAGUGUGCACUUCACGUCGCACUCGGGGACUUAGCNAACCUCCUUCGAAUGUGCACUAUACGUCACACUCGGGGGACUUAGRUGUGAUCAAMAAUCACCUAAGUAKUACCUUCCUUCGAGUGUGCACUAUUCGUCGCACUCGGGGACUUAGCUGCGAUCCUGUAUCGCCUAAGUACUAACCUCCUUCGAGUGUGCACUAUACGUCACACUCGGGGACUUAGUUGUGAUCAAGAAUCACCUAAGUACUAAACUCCUUCGAGUGUGCACUAUACGUCGCACUCGGGGACUUAGCUGUGAUCAAGAAUCACCUAAGUACUACCCUCCUCCGAUUUUGUACUAUACGUCGCACUCGGGGACUUAGCUGCGAUCCUGAAUCGCCUAAGUAAUAACUUCCUCCGAGUGUGCACUAUACGUCGCACUCGGGGACUUAGUUGUGAUCAAGAAUCAUCCUAAGUACUAACCUCCUCCGAGUGUGCACUAUACGUCACACUCGGGAACUUAGCUGUGAUCACGAAUCACCUAAGUCUUAAUAUUCUCCGAGUACACACUAAGUGUUGAACUCGAAACAGCAUUCAAGCAAAAUACUAAAUGUUUUCAUUGCGACUCCAACAGUCUAGAAACAAUAAUUGACUCGGUGCGGAUCAAGCUUACCCGCACCGAUUUAAAAGUAUGACGGCCAACAGAAGUGGCCAGAGUAUCUUACAGGCAAACACUCGGCAUACCGAGGAUAAAGUUUGAUCAUGCGUCAGCUGGGCCGGCAUCAGGACUGGAGGGCUCCACAAAAGUAUCCAGGUCGAUUCCAUCAGCAAUGCGGGUAGCAGUCUCCAGGAAUGUCUCCAUGAAGUCUUCGAAUUGAAGCUUCUUCGUGUUGGCGACCUUCAAUGCUUUCCGCUUAUCUUCCCGCACCUCCUUGCAAUGGACUCGGACCAAGGACAGUGCAACAUCAGCACCGCAACGCGCUGCCGAUUUCUUCCAAGAUUGCACUCGGCUCAGAACCUCCUCCAAUCGGCCCGUCAGGGUCUCCAUCCCCUCCCGCGACUCGUCUUCCGGCCAAAGUUCCUUGUUAAUUCGACCGACGACUUCUCUGAUUCGACCGAUGAAAGGACCUACUUUGCUUACGCGGAUAUGUGCUCGGAGCAGAUCCCGAUUGGCUUCCUCACCGAGUGGAACUUUGUCCUUAACAGACCGCUCCACAGCCGCCGCUUCAGCUUCAGGGUCUCCGCAAAAGUCUGAAACAAACAAGCAAGCAGACAAUAAAAACCGAGUGUACGGCACACGGUACAACCACUCGACAAAGCAUAAGACUUACCAGCCAGACGAGUCAUCAUUUGCGCAGCCCAGUCGGUGACAUACUUCUCUUGAGCUAUGCAUCGUCUGUUCAGGACGCCCAUCUGAUUGUGACACUCAGUCCUCUGUUUCUUCAGUCUCUCCACCUCUGCCACCAACACCCUGUUUGCUUCCACGGCCUCCUCCAAAGACUUCUCUCGAACUUCCAGCGUGUUUUUCAUGCCGGCCAUGGCGAGCGUUGCAGCUUCCAGUUCACCAGCAUACAGGUUCUUUUCCGCUCUAAGGGCUUCAUAAGCAGUUCUCAUUUCACAAGUUUUCUACACAAAGAAACAAAGGGUAAUCAGCAAGUUUAUCAGUUCACACACUAAGUUCUUCAGACCCCUGCCGACGCAAGCAGUCGACAGCGGUCUCGGGGACUACACCCAGUGGGUUCACUAAGAGUGACCCCACUGGCAUGCACCUCAAGCAGGUCUGCCCUAUUGAGGUGCACGUUUUCACCUACGCCUCCGAGGCCAAUACUACUCGACCUGCGUGCAGUUUACUCUCGGGGACUCUUACCGCAAGAGUGCUCCGACUGCAGUAAGUACUCGCACUCGGAAAUCUCGUCUACGGACACAACCAAACUAAAGACCAAAUGUAUAAAGACAACUGUCGGUGCAAGCACUCGACAGAAGUCUCGGGGACUACACCCACUGGGUUCACUCGGAGUGAACCCAUUGCAAACAACAGACAACACCCAGUGGGUUACAGAGGAAAAGUAAGUACUUACUAGAAUACUUACUCGGAUGUCAUCGCGCAGCUCCAAGCUCCGCUGGUACAAAGCCGCAACGGAGUCAUAAGCCCUCUUGGCCUCUCCGGCCAUCAGCUCCGCCUGGACCAUGGCCCCCUUGGCCGCUCCCACCUGCUCCUCUGGGACACACCGAAUGCUGAAUUCAGCAUUCGACGAACCGGGAAUCGUGGGAAGAUCCUGGGGCAUCCCAAGGUUCGCCCCGGUCGGGUCCUCCCCCACCGGCACCGGUUCAGUCGGUGGAGGCACUUCGGUUGGCGGAGCGUCGGCGACAAGGGUGGCAGCAGGAGGAGCAGCCUGAGGGACUAGCUCCAGGACAGGCUCCACGGUGGGGUCAACUCUCCCUUGCUCGUCCUCGUCCAGGUGAAUCGCCCCUGAUAAGCCGAAUGACACGACGAUUCAGAAAAAGAAAAGGAUGGUACAGUCUACAGGAAUAAAACACCCGACUCUCUUACAACAUACCUGGCUGGGACGAGACGACGUUGUCCGUGUCUAUGGGGUCAUCCCCUUGGCGGGCCGGAGAGGUUGCAGAAGUGGCGACCCUGUCGAGUGAAGCCCAUUCGACUUGUAAAGCAGGAGUUCACUCGGAUAACAUAAAAAUCCGAAAGUUAGAUUCACUUACGUGGAUGUGACGGGGAUGGCAACCCUCAUGCGCGGCAGAGCCUUUCGAGGUUUGGGCCCACUCGGUUUGGGCGCCCUGGAAGACUGGCUUGCGGGCUCAGCGGGGGCGUCCCUGGACCUCUUCGUGCCUCGAGCACUCGGGGCCACCGGAGCGGCAGGCGGAGCACUCGACGAUGCAGGAGGAGCUGAAGGAGCGACAGGCUCGUGUCGACGCUUACUCCGAUGCUCUGGCCAUGGAGGCGGCGAGUCGCGCUCUUCGUCUUCUUCCUCCUCCUCGCUGUCCUCCUCCUCUGACUCCCCGCUGUCGGAGACAUAUUCGGCGCUCUCCACGCUCCCCUCCUGGCUGCCUUCCUCCUCUUCCUCCUCUGAAUUCCCGUUCGAGACGGGGGAGAACCAGUUGGUCCACUCCUGCAUAAGGAUCAGUCGGAAACAUUAAACAUCACACGAGGAUAUAAAUAAGCGACCAGAAUAAAGAUGAUUCGACGCACUCGGCUGAUGCCACUCACCUGAUUUGGUGGAGGGUUGUCCGCGCUGUAAGGCGCCACUCGGCGAGCUCCUUUAGGGUUCCCACAAGGGCACGUGAUUUGGAGCACCAACGAGGUCACCUUCUCCCCGAGUAUGCCCACCACGAUGGUCCGAGUGGAAUCCUCGGGCCCUGUGUAGUGCCACAUCGCGUGGUCCCGAGCCUGCAGAGGCUGGAUCCGCCGACCGAUGAAGAUCUCUAGCAGGUCUAUACCAGUGACUCCUCUCCUGACAACGUCCACGAGUGCCUCAACCAAAGGCUGGAUAUCGUUCUUCUCGGCCUUGGAGAGCGCGAGUUGUUUGGGCGGAGCGGGACGGUCUAGACUAAACGGAGGCAGCCCAGUCGAUGCAUUCGGACAGGCUAUGUCCUGCCAGUAGAACCACGUCGACUGCCAGUUCCUGACCGACUCGCUCAACUGGAGAGCGGGAUAGCUACUCCAACUCUUCUUCUGAAACCCUAAAACCCCGCAGAGCUGGAGGAGAUGCGUCUUGUCGUCCGGCUGACUAAGACGUUUGAUGGUUUGAGAGCGGGCGGAGAAGAUAUGUUUGAAUAAACCCCAAUGGGGGGGCAACCGAUAAAGCACUCGCACAAAACAAUGAAGGCAGAAAGAUGGGCGAUGGCAUUCGGAGGGAAGUGAUGGAGUUGAGCACCAAAAUGAUUCAUGAUACCUUUGAAGAAGGGAUGCGGGGGGAGAGAGAAACCUCUGUGAACAUGACUGAGGAGCAAGACGCGCUCCCCCUCCCGUGGCGCCGGCUCGACCUCGUCGUCCGCCGGCAACCUCCAGGACUUAUGCGCGAGCAGGCCGUGCUCUACCAGCUCCAGCAGGUCCCCCUCCGUCACCGUGGAGGGGAGAAAGUCUCCCUGGAUCCACCCAGCCGGCAACGGCCGCUGCCGCCGCUGAGCAGCCGCCGCCUUGCUCUUCUUCUUCCUCGCCUCCAUCUUGCUGGUCUGACCUUUGGUCAUGGAGGCGACGGUGAGUUCUCGAGAAGGAGAGGAAGAGAGGGGUGUAUGGGCGCAGGAGGUGGCGAGGAAGACGGAGCAGGCAAGAGCGAAAGAUUCGGCGAGCGUAACCGAAGGGUCUCGUUGCCCAGAGUUAAAUAGAGCACCGACUGGGUCGCUGGUGAGCGGGCCCAAAAUAUUAUCUACCCAACCAGCCGCGGCGAUAUCAGUGGAGGAGUUGAAGGCGCGAGGAUCGAGGAGUCAGGCGCUACUCGAGCGCGCUGACGUCGUCCCCGCUGAGCGCGCGGAACCCGAAAUUUGAGAUCCCGGAAAAUCCGCCGCUGUCAGUUGACCGGUCGCGUCAAAAGAUGCCGUGGAAGCACUCGGUUCCCGACAAUCUGUUUCGUGAGCACUCCCACUCGGAACGUUGGUCGAGAGAGAUAAAAUGGAUAGAGGCAAGCAACGCCCAAGCCGAACCUAGUUCAGUCGGAUCCGAACCCAAAGCACCACUUCUACGUUUCAACCCCAAUCCAUUCGGAGACUAAUGAUGGGGUUAUAGUCCUAGGGUAGGGUCAUAGGCCUGUCCUACAUGUCCUACCCAAGGACUACCCCACACAAAGGACAGGACCUUAAGUCUGCCCCGGCUGGAUUAAGGUAUCCCCAUCAUCCAGUCGGUAACAGGCCCAGAAUCAUCCAGUCGGUAACUAGCAUUCGGAGAACACCAGGCUCACUGACUGGAUACACUCGGUAUGUCGUAACCUCUCAGGAGGGAAACUACCAUACGUUUCCGGGUGCAUUUAUUAGCAUUUAGAGCAUACUUUACCUGUAACGUACGCAUUCAAUCGCCACUACUCCACCCUUGAAUCAGAACCGUUGUGGAGGGAAUCACACUCUAUAUAAGCCGCCCUCCCCCACUGGUAAAGGGGUUAGAAAAACAUUGUACUCCAUAUUACACUCGGUAACAAGCUCCGAGAGCACUGAGACGUAGGGCUAUUACCUCCACCGUAGAGGGGCCUGAACUCAUACAACCUCGCCGUAGCUAGGACUCUGCCCAUCUCAUGCGUACCCUACACAUCUACUGUCAGGCUUAUACCCACGACAGGACCCGAGGCGGAUUCGAUCGAAUCUGGCUACAGGGUCCCCUUCGGCAAGAUCAACGUCUUCAUCGGCAUGAUCGGAUCAUCCGUGCCUGAGCCGGACAUCUCUACCGACAUCGUCGAGCCGGCCAGGUACGUCCGCCCAGUAGUGACGCCAAAUCUGACUCGCCCGGUCUUUGUUGGGUUCACGUAGGGAUCGGAGGAACCAGAACACUCAGCGUCCCAGGAAACUACACCAGUCAACACUGAUGACGAAUCAUCCAUGGGCGAUUCAGAUUCAAUCCGGUCUCUACAUGGGGAUUGUCUUGGGUGCUUGUCGCUGGCCAUGGACCCCGAAGUCCUUGACCGAACCCGCCGCCAGAUCGCCAUUUAUAUGGCUGGGGCGACUCAACCCUCGCAAAACCCAACAGGAGACGACGGAACUGGCGAGACGUCUAGAAGUCCGGCCGCUGUCUUGGUGGAAUUAGCGGCGGAAAUCACAAGGCUGAUGGCGACUCCCCUCACACCGGAAAACCAGGAGGCAGUAAACGCGGAGUUGGCGAAACUCAGAGAAGCAGUGGCAAAGGCUCAUCGGGAUGCCGAGGUGGAGUCCGCCAGGAUCGAGACCCGACAAGCUCAAAUUACCUCCGAAAUAACUCGCUUAAAUGCUGACAACUGGCGGCUCGAAAGACACCAGCGCGCAUCCGAUGCCGUCCAUCAGCGGAGACACCAGGGUCGCCUGCCCCCUGAUCUCAACCCGACCCGCCUGUUCGAUACUCCACGAACUCCUGGGGCGGGAGCCGCCGCAGGGGGAGGACCGGGUCAACCACCUAACCCGCCGGUUCAGCCAAUUGAGGAUCGGAUUCCCCGAUUCUGGACACCUCAAGGUCACUUUUCCAACCCAGUGGAUAACGUCCUUGCUGCAACUCGCCAUUUGGAAUCUCUUCCGAUUCACAGCAACACUCCCGCCGAGAUAGAAGCAAGGAACGCCAUUGAGAUGUUGAAGACGGCGGUGGUUCAAAAUGCCCAGUUCUCACAUAGCCUAGAUAGGCUGCAUUCCACUCCCCAGGCGAGUCACACCAGGAGUCGGCCAAAGGACCAGCCCGCCGUAAACAGCGGGCCGCGACUCAUCCCCCAGGACAACCCGCCUGAUCAUCAGAACCCGUUGGGCCGGGAUCUCCCGAACAUCCAAGUCGCCCCGGCCCCUCUCGUCGGGAGCGGUGGACGAGUGGGGGUGCCGUGCUUGGCCCCCGCCCUUCGCAACGAACGAAUGCCCAAGGAUUUUAAGGGACCAGGAAAGGUGCCUAACUACACCCCGGACCUUGAGCCGACAUCAUGGGUCGAGAGUUACGAAAUCGCCAUGGACAUGCUCGACGUAAACGAGGCAGUUUGCGCCAGAUACUUCACGAUGAUGCUCGAGGGGUCAGCACGUACUUGGUUAAAAAACCUUACCCCCAACUCCAUCCAGACCUGGGCUGAAUUGAAAGAGCGCUUCAUCAAAAACUUCCGAGGAACCUGCAAACGUCCAAUGACGAUCGUCGAUGUGCAGCACUGCAUUUAGCGCCCCGAUGAGUCGGCCCACCAUUGAUCACGGCGGGUUGCGGAAAUUAUCCAUUCAUCAGACGGUAUUACGGCGGCUCAGGCUGUGUUAUUCCUCGAGCAGAAUUGCCAUUACGAACCCCUGGUACAAAAAUUGGGGCGACUCAAGCGAAAGGUCCAAGACAUGGGGGAGCUGAUGGAUACCCUCACUAGGUACGCUGAAGCAGAUGACACCAAAGAUCCCGGUGAGGACGGUAAAGCUAAUUCGCCCAAGAAGGGCGAGUCAUCCAAAAAUCAUACCCGGUUCCAGGGACGUAACCGCCACAAUCAAGGAGCUAAUGGCAAGAGAAGGCAGCAAGAGGAACCUUCGGAUUUAGUAGCCAAUACCAACACCAACAGUGGCAACCAACGCCAGAAGAAAAACAGGGGAUAUAGUGGUAAGAAGCCGCGUAACUAUGAAGAGUUACUCAAGGGCCCUUGCCCGCAUCAUGCCAUGGCAGACGGACCGGCGACUCACUCCUGUGAGAACUGCUUCGUGAUGUGGGAGUUUCGGGCGGAGGCGAUCAAGAAAAGCCAAAAUGAUGACCCGGACCAACGGCAGGAGCAGUUUGCUGCACCCAACCAACGACAAAACCCCUUUGGCGGUUUUCCCGAACCGGGGGCUCAGGGAGGCUCGCAGCCGAGCAGCGGCCAGUAUCCGAUGCAUCACCAGCGGCGGUAUAACCCGCCAGGAGCCUUUCAACAGCCGCCCCCACAGGGGGCUUCGCAGGAUCAGGAUGACAACGGGGGCUUUCGCAAUAACCCCAAACAGUUAAGCAAUGGGCAGUAUCACGUUUUCACCACCAAUGCUUGCAGACAUGAUAAGAAGGUGAGUCACUGGGCGUACAGUGUGUUUGAGCCGGCGCUUCCCAGGUACCUCCACUGGUCUGAACAGACCAUAUCAUGGAGUAGGGAGGAUCACCCGCCAAGAGUUGACAAUCCUGGCGACUUAGCGUUGGUCGUAGCUCCCCAAGUUGGGGGGUUACACCCUGUCCAAAGUGCUAAUGGAUGGUGGCAGCAGCAUUAACAUCUUGUAUUUUGACACUUUCCAAAGGAUGAACCUAUUGGAAAAGGACCUGAUGCCUUCAACCACGGUUUUCCACGGAAUCGUCCCGAGCAAGUCGGCGUACCCCAUAGGCCAAGUCAGACUCACAGUUGCAUUUGGAACAGCACAUAACUACAGGUCCGAGUCACUGAUGUUUGAGGUGGUCAAAUUGAAAAGCCCCUAUCAUGCGCUAUUUGGGUGGCCGGCUUAUGCCCGUUUCAUGGCUCGCCCAUGCUAUGUUUACCUUAAGCUCAAGAUGCCUGGUCCUAAGGGACCCAUCAUAGUUUAUGGUGAUAGAAGGAUUGCAAAGGAAUGUGAAGAAGGGGACGCGGCUUAUGCGGAAGUCGCCUUCGCUGCAGAGGAGCUCAAACAUCAUCGGGCCAAUGUUGACCCGGCGGACAUGUCACCCCUAAAGAAGCCAACAACAGAUGCUGAGUCGCCCCUCAAGUUCAAACCAACGGAUGACACUAAAACAGUCGAUUUCGUUCCGGGCGAUUCAUCCAAGCAGUUCACCAUUGGGACGGGUCUGGAUCCCAAAUAGGAAAGCGCGCACCGAAUUCAUCCGUGAGAAUUGGGACAUCUUUGCAUGGAAACCUUCUGACAUGCCUGGUGUGCCGAGAGAACUCGCUGAGCACCAUCUUAAUGUUGACCCAAAGGCAAAACCUAUCCAGCAGUAUCUUCGCAGGUUUAACGAGGAGCGACGCAAGGCAAUCGGGGAAGACGUUGCCCGUCUCUUAGCUGCCGGAUUCAUCGUGGAAGUUUUCCACCCCAAAUGGCUGGCUAACACGGUUUUGGUACUCAAGAAGAAUGGUACCUUCCGUAUGUGCAUUGAUUACACGGACCUCAACAAAGCUUGUCCGAAAGACCCUUUCGCUCUUCCCCGCAUCGACCAGAUCAUUGACUCGGUGGCGGGAUGCGAACGUUUGUGCUUUUUUGACGCAUACUCUGGAUAUCACCAGAUCAAGAUGGCUGUGGAGGAUCAAGAGAAAACAACUUUUAUAACCCCCUUUGGGGCUUUUUGCUAUCUGUCCAUGCCGUUUGGGCUCAAGAGUGCGGAGGCGACUUAUCAGCGCUGCAUCCAGAAUUGCCUCCGCAGCCAAAUCAGGCGCAACGUCCACGCCUAUGUCGACGAUAUUGUGAUCAAAACACGCCAGGGGGAGACGCUACUGGAGGAUCUCAAGGAAACUUUCGAUAAUCUGCGGGUGUAUCAGAUGAAGCUGAAUCCCACCAAGUGUGUUUUUGGUAUUCCUGCAGGGAAAUUCUUGGGCUUCCUGGUGUCUGAGCGUGGCAUUGAAGCUAACCCGGACAAAAUCGAAGCAGUUACAUCCCUUGGAAAACCGGCAAAUGUUAAUCAAGUUCAACGAAUGGAGGGUCGCAUUGCGGCUCUAAGUCGCUUCGUAAGCCGCCUCGGAGAAAAGGCGAUUCCCCUUUAUCAAUUACUAAAGAAAUCUGACCAUUUUGUUUGGACAAAUGAAGCAGACGAAGCGUUCGAAGCCUUGAAACGGCAACUGGUCAACCCGCCGGUCUUGGCCGCCCCGACUGAGAAAGAACCCAUGCUUCUGUAUAUUGCGGCAAACUCCAAAGCUGUAAGUGUGGCGGUGGUCGUUGAAAGAAAGGAGGAAGGGAAGGAGUACCCAGUGCAACGCCCGGUGUAUUUUAUCAGCGAAGUGCUAACCCUUUCCAAGCAACGGUACCCACAUUGGCAGAAGUUAGUGUAUGGGGUGUUUAUGGCGAGUCGGAAACUUAAGCAUUAUUUCCAAGAACAUCCUAUCACAGUGGUUAGUUCAGCCCCCCUCGGGGACAUCAUCCAGAAUCGGGAGGCAACAGGGCGGAUUGCCAAGUGGGCGAUUGAACUUGGGACGCAUCACGUACGAUACACCCCUCGCACAGCCAUCAAGUCUCAAGCCUUAGUUGAUUUUGUCAAUGACUGGGCGGAGUUGCAGGCCCCGGAGGACAGGCCUGAUCUUACAUACUGGACUAUUUAUUUUGAUGGAUCCAGACAGCUGGAAGGCUCGGGGGGUGGUGUGGUACUGGUAUCCCCUCAAGGAGAUAAAUUCUGUUAUGUCCUCCGACUCAUGUUUCCGUGCACUAACAAUGCUGCGGAAUAUGAAGCUUUGCUUCACGGCUUGCGACUCGCCAAGGAGAUGAACCUCACGCGAGUCAGAUGUUUUGGCGACUCUGAUCUGGUGGCGCAGCAAGUUUCAGGUACCUGGGAUUCUCGAGACCCCGUGAUGGCGGCUUACAGAAGAGCUGUGUCUGACGUGGCGGGUCAUUUUCAUGGCUAUCAGGUUGACCACAUUGAUCGGCGCCUCAACGAGGCAGCUGACGCCCUUUCACGUCUUGGUUCCGAGCGAAAGUCGGUUCCCCCCAAUGUUUUUCUGGAUAUUUUGCAUAAUCCAUCCGUGAGUUUACCAUCGGAGGAGGAGUUGGCAAUACCGGAUCCUGAGUCUCAGUUCGUGGCGGCUCUCCACGUCACGCCGGAUUGGGUUCUUCCCUAUCUGGCUUAUCUCGCCCGGGGCGAGUUACCAACAGACGAAGUUUCGGCCCGUCAAAUCAUUCGGCGGAGCAAAUCCAUGGUGAUCAUCAAUGGCGAAUUAUAUAAGCGGAGCGCCUCUGGAGUUUUUCAAUGAUGCGUUCCCUCCGAAGAAGGAUGCAUAAUCCUAAAUGACAUUCAUUCCGGGGACUAUGGGCAUCACGCCGGGUCACGCUCUUUGGUGUCAAAGGCAUUCCGUCAUGGUUUCUUUUGGUUGACGGCUCAUGUAGAUGCAGAAGAGAUAGUUUGUCGGUGCAAGGGAUGCCAGCGUUAUGGACGACAGGCUCAUGUGCCGGCUCAAGAACUAAGAAUGAUUCCCAUCACUUGGCCUUUCGUGGUCUGGGGGUUAGACAUGGUCGACCCCUUUAAAAUGUCAUCCAACAAGAAAACCCAUUUGCUGGUGGCGGUUGAUAAGUUCACCAAGUGGGUUGAGGCAGAACCUAUUGGAACUUGCGAUGCGGAGACAGUGGUCAAGUUCUUGAAGAAGUUGAUCUUCCGGUUUGGAUAUCCACACAGUAUUAUUACUGAUAAUGGCACUAACCUGUCCCAAGGGGCGAUGCAGGAGUUUUGCCGUCGAGAGCAUAUCCGGCUUGAUAUUUCUGCGGUUGCUCACCCACAAUCUAAUGGGCAGGCGGAACGGGCAAAUCAGGAGGUUUUACGAGGAAUCAAGCCCCGACUCAUGGUUCCCUUGGAGAAAACCCUGGGAUGUUGGGUCGAAGAAUUGCCUUCAGUGCUAUGGAGCAUCCGGACCACCCCGAACUGGUCCACGGGUUUUACCCCUUUCUUUCUGGUCUACGGAGCAUAAGCUGUUCUUCCUACUGACAUAAGGCAUGACUCGCCUAGAGUCGCCGCAUAUGUGGAGCAAGACAACGAACUGGCGCGUCAAGACUCCUUGGACGCCUUAGAGGAGGCACGUGACUUGGCUGCGGCCCGUUCGGCCAUCUAUCAACAGGAUCUACGGCAUUAUCACAACCGCCGAGUUCAGAGCCGAACCUUUCAGGAAGGCGACUUAGUGCUUCGGUUGAUACAGGAUCGUGCUGGCAUGCAUAAGUUGUCACCGCCAUGGGAAGGACCGUUCGUCAUCCGCAAAAAUCUUCGCAACGGCUCUUACUAUCUGGUGGAUCUCCCGCCUAACCGGCCAACCACGGAGGCUGAGUCAACUCGCCCCUGGAAUAUUGCCCACUUGCGGCCUUAUUACACUUGAGCUUUUAAGCUCUGCAUUUUGUAAGUUUUUUGGUUCUUAUUAUGAAGCAAUAAAAUUAAAACGCUUCCCGACUUGGGGGAUUCCUCAUUGAGAAUAAUUUUGUUAUCCUUAUGAGCCGGCAAAAUCAAUAUCUUGGGUGGCGCUUGAGCUUUCUGACUCGCCCCAUCCUGUCGCGACCUUAUGAGCCGACGAAAUCAUUAUCUUGGGUGGCGCUUGAGCUUUCUGACUCGCCCCAUCCCGUCGCGACCUUAUGAGCCGACAAAAUCAUUAUCUAGGUUGGCGCUUGAGUUUUCUGACUCGCCCCAUCCUGUCGCGACCUUAUGAGCCGACAAAAUCAUUAUCUAGGGUGGCGCUUGAGCUUUCUGACUCGCCUCAUCCAGUGCGACCUUAUGAGCCGAUAAAAUCAUUAUCUUGGGUGGCGCUUGAGCUUUCUGACUCGCCCCAUCCUGUCGCGACCUUAUGAGACGACAAAAUCAUUAUCUACGGUGACGCUUGAGCUUUCUGACUCGCCCCAUCCUGUCGCGACCUUAUGAGGCGACGAAAUCAUUAUCUAGGGUGGUGCUUGAGCUUUCUGACUCGCCCCAUCCUGUCGCGACCUUAUGAGCCGAUGAAAUCAUUAUCUUGGGUGGCGCUUGAGCUUUUUGACUCGCCCCAUCCUGUCGCGACCUUAUGAGCCGACGAAAUCAUUAUCUUGGGUGGCGCUUGAGCUUUUUGACUCGCCCCAUCCUGUCGCGACCUUAUGAGCCGACGAAAUUGCUAUUUUUUUACCUUUGUGGCACUGCCACAAGGUUUUCCAGACUUUUUUCUGAUUCAUCUUGAAAUAUUUUGGGACGGCUGCAAUUUGUUAUCACUUAUUAUUCAUUAAGAUGAUUUCACAUAUGUUUUUCAAGCUUAGAACAGGUUGAUGAUCAAAAUCACUUUAUCCAUGGCGGAUUAAGCAUCAUAAAGAAGCUUCAAAUGGCGGAUCAAGUAUUUCAAAUCGCCUUAAGGGCGACAUAAGGAUUCUUUUUGAAGGUAUCACAAAAGCAGUACCGAUUCCUAAAGGAGACCGAUUACAUGGCUCUUAUGGCCAAAUUCAAUGAAGUUUAUUCUGCUGACGCCCUUGGAUCAGUUUGCUGCGAGCUUUGGCCAACCUCAAUCUACAAGUCGCCCAGUACCCAGUUACACUUGGCCAGAGCGGCAAAGUCAUCUUCAUCGAUCAGGAUUGAUGAAAGAUCUGCGUCCAAGUCAAAAGGGUUCUUGGGUCGCCGUGGAGUUAAGCUGGUCGUCACAAAGGUUGGCGGGUUGACCUUCUUGUUCUUACUAUCAUAAGCAGCCUAGUACUUUGAUAAGUCCAGACUUGCAGCAAGUUGAGUCGCCGCCAGACGGGAGUCCUUGACGACACGCUGGUAGUCCUCUUCGGCGAAUUCUGACCCGUCAUCCUUGAGUUGGGGAAAGCCCGCUACUACUUCUUCUGGGUUGAUCUCUGAAGCAUAUGCUAAGCAGCGACUUAAUGUAAUCAGCACUCCCUUCCGGGCGGCUUACCGAGUCAACUCGCCAAUCUGGGGAGGAAGCGUGGAUAGGCAGCCAAGCAUCUUCUUUAUGGAGGUUAUGGGCUCCUUGGCGCCCAUCACUGCUUUCACAUUCAGUACACUGCCGGUAUAUAGCUGCUCUGUGAGCGUGUAAAUCACCUUCAGCAUUAGCACGCAAUCAUCCUGAAGGUUGGCGACUCUCGGACCUGUACAAGGGGUAAUGAUAAUCAGCGACUCAAGAUAAGAGUUAUUUGUUUAAAAAGGUCAAGGGUUUGUAUUUUACCAAAGACGGCCUGCGCCAUGUUUGAGAUAUGACGUUUCAAACCGGACAGCUCUUGUUGCACAGUAGCCAGCUUGGCUUCAGCUUUCUCUGCUCGCUUUGUUGAAGCAUCUUGGUCAGCUUGAGCCCUUUUUAAAUCGGCUUUUAGUUUUUCCAUCUCAGCUAAGACCAGUUGAUACUUCUACUCCGAUUUGGCUCGGGCAUCCUGCUGAUCAGAUACGCUUUUCUUCAAGUCGCCAAGUGCUAAUUCAGUCUGGAUAAGAGAUUCCUGUUGAAACACAUGAUAAGGGGCAAGUCUCAGAACUAUUGCAAGCAAUAUCCCUGACACUUGGGGGCUAAUGUAUUAAAAAAAAUCAGACAAAAUUAUACAGCAUCAAGACCCGGCUCAUCUUUUUACUGAUGACCCGGCGCCUUGGGGGUUACUGGUCGAAAGUUUUUUAAAGUCAUCAAGACCCGGCUCAUCUUUUUACUGAUGACCCGGGCCUUGGGGGGUUACUGGUCGAAAGUUUUUUAAAGUCAUCAAGACCCGGCUCAUCUUUUUACUGAUGACCCGGCCCUUGGGGGUUACUGGUCAAAAGUUUUUUAAAGUCAUCAAGACCCGGCUCAUCCUUUUACUGAUGACCCGGCCCUUGGGGGUUAAUGGGGAUAAUAUAGUAUACAACAAAAUUUACCUCAUGUUUAUUUUUUAGCAUCCGAAGCAGGCUUUUCUCCAUCUCAUAACUCGCCUCCAGGCGACUUGCAAAACCAAAGCAAAGUUCUUUGAAUUCCAAAUGUUCAUAUUCAGAGAGCUUAACCUUGGAGAGUCCAGACUCACGAACGGUUUGAGAUGACGAUGGCACAUGCUUUGAUAAAACCGCUGUGGCCGGUUUAGAGAAGCUGGUACCAGUGAUAAUUACAACGUCUGGGUCUUUUGCUGUUGUCAAUGGACUUGGCGGCUUGGGGGCAUCCAUUGUUUCCUUGGGCGAGCUAGGGAGAUCCACUUGAUCCUCAGGUUUGUCUUGGUCCGGAUUAUCUUGGAUCGGCGCCGGAUCUUUGAUGGGCUCUGAGAUUAUGAUAGGAGUUGACCCGCUG
rnacentral:lncRNA from 1 species